UUCAAAUCAGCGGCAGUCAAGUCCCCAACACUCUUCUUGGCCAUUGAAACAACCCCUCUUGACCCUUUUCCCUUGAAAGAUCGAACUUUGGAGGAGGCAUGGAGGGAAAGCAGAGAGUCCCCAGAAGCAGCGGAGGAGAAGCCUAGGCUGUGGAUGAGAGAAGAGGAUUUGAGGUGGCGGCGAGUGGAGGGAAGGCGGAUGAGGGAUGCAGAAGAGCGGGAGGCGGAGGAAGAGGUGGUGGAGGCGGUGGUUUUGAGGAGGGAAAAAGUGGUGGAAGUGGUGGCAGAAGCCAUUUGGAGGCGAAGAGAGAAAGAGAGUGGAGACGCUGAGUUGUAAGUUGUGAAGGCAAAGAGACAAGGAAACUGUGAGAGAGGGGGGGAAAAGGAGUUUAUGUAACGGUGGAUGGGAAUGGGGAAGAUGUGGACGUGAAGCGCAAAGGGAGAAAUGAUUGGAUGUGAGGAGGAGGAAAUCAGAUACCUCUUGUUUUUCUUAUCGUUGAGGAGAGGCUGAAGAUGUUCGAUGCUUUUCUUGAUUUGCCCACACUCCCUCACUAUUUCUCUUUGUCCGCUAAUAAGGUCGCAACCGAUAGGAUCUGAAUACCAACAUUGGGCUGAGAUCCCUAAUCAUAUGUUACAACUUUUGACUCACUCAACAAAUUACACUAAUCCUAAUUAGCUCAGUAACUCAGCGUAUCAAUUAUAUGCCAUAAGUUUACUGGUAAUUUUUUACCUAACCACAUUUAGUGUACUUUUGUUGCUAAAAUCAUGUUAUCAAAUUUCUUGUUUGCAGCAAUAGUUAAAGCUUCUAUUUCACACUAAAAUGAUAUAGGUCCACACUUUGUCAUCCCCUUCCCAUUCUCCCAAUGUUAUAAUGAUAAAAAAAAAAAAAUUCUCGCGUAAAAUUACAAAGUGACUCAAUAAGUCCCCAACUUAAUGAACACCAAGGUACCUUGUUAUGGAAAUAUAAGGCUCUUGGCUACCACAAUAUUGUACUAUGUUUGUUAAAACUAUAUUUUUUCAUCUUUGGGAACAUUCUGGUGUGUAGAUUUACCUUGUUAUUAAGUAUUUAUUGGAGAGUUGAUUUACUUUGUAAGUGAAGAUAUUCAAGCAUAAUGUUUGCAAACAAUUGUAUAAUAAUAAGGUUGAUUAACCUAGAAUUGGAUAGAUAUGGAUUAAAUUAUUUAUUAUAUCCGGAAAUUAUUUAGUGUAUUAAUUCUAAAAGAAAGGUUUCAUAGAGAUAGGAUUGUUAAUAUGAUCUUCAUAAACAAUCUUUGUUUCCUAUUACUCUUUUGCGUUUCUAUUCUUUCAACAUCAAUUGCAAUAGAAAAGUUUGAUAGAUUCAAGCCAAUGUGCUUUCAUUGGUAUUGGAGCUUAAUUUUAGGCACAAUUGAAGGAUCCCAAGUUUGGUUUACAUCUAUCUAAGCCAUGAAGAAAGGUGGUUCCAUCUUACUCCACUUUUGUUGAUAGGAGUGGUAAAUCAUACCUAUUGGAAAGCAAAAAUAAGGGAUUUUAUUAAGUCCAUUGAUGAAGCACAUCAAGAGUUGUUGAAGAUGGUUGGAUUUAAUCUACUAUUAUCACUUUUGAUGGCAUUGUAACCCCAAAAUAAAAAGAGGUAAAUAUACUGUUAAGAAUAAAGGUAAUUCACAUUUUUAGUGGACUAGUUAUGGAACAAUAUAAGAAAAUAUCCAUGUGUGAAUUUGCUAAAGAUGCUUGGACAAUUCUCCAAAAUCAACAUGAAAGAAAUAUAUUAGUCCACAUGUUUAAACUUUAGAUCCUUACUUUUAGGUUUAAAAAUGUAAAAAUUGAUGAAAAAGAAACUAUUUCUUAUUAUUAUGUUUAUUUAUAUGAGAUUUAUUAUGAAUCCUUUUGCUUUCAUGUAUGUUUUUCUAAGACAAAAUUAGUGUGAGAGAUGCUUUGCUUAUUGUCGGAAAGGUUUUCUAUAAAAGUUACUACAGUUGAGGAAGCCAAAUACAUAACUACUUUGAGUCUAGAUGAACUUGUAAGUUUACUAAGAACAUUUGACUUGAACUGAGAAUAGGCCAAAAUGUCAAGGUAAAACCAAAAAGAAGUAUUGACUUCAAUGUCAAAUCAAGUAUUUCAAUUGUUAUUCUAACAACUACCUCUAUAGCAGGAUUGUAAAAAAAGGUGGCACCUUUAGCUAAGAAUUUAGUGAAGUCUUCAUAAAAGGAUUAUAUUUUUGCAUAAAAGAAGUGAAGGUGAGUAUUGUUGAAAAGUGUCUAAUGUUGCUAUAGAUAUUCUCAAAAAGCUUGAGACUUGUAGUGAGAAACUUGAAAAGGCAUUUUUUGUUGGACGAGUAAAACAUAAACACAAAGACCUAGGUUAUAUUGACAUUGGUCACAAAUCUACAUCUCUUACUAUUUUUUAAGGUUAAAUAGUCUUUUUUUCCUCCUAUUGAUAUACGUAAAACGAAGAACAAAAAAUAUGUUUGUCACCACUAUAGAAAGGGUGGGGGUGGGCAUAUUAGAGUCUAUUACUUCAACUUGGUGGAUGAUUAAAAAUAGAGAAAAAUUAAAUUUCCUGCAUCUAAUGUUGCUGUAACGCCUUUAAUCAGACUCAAUUCACCAGGUCUAGAUCUCGAGUGUUUCUAAACAAUACAAAACAUUUAACAAAAAUAGUUAACAUGUUCUCAUUUAUUUUAAACCUAGUAUUUGAAGUUCCAAAAGAAAAACUUAACAUUUAGAAAUUUAAAUUAAAUAUAUGAUAAAUAACUUAUUACAUCAAAUUUGAUACAGAUCUUUACAAAUUAGAAACUAUUUUAAGACAGACACAAAGGCGUAAUCAAGACUACGCCACAUAUCCCUUGUAUGCAUAACAGCCCUACUCUGUCACCAACUUGGUGUACUUCUGGCGUUGUCCCUCCAAGUGAAGUCUCUUCUCAAUUCCUGAAAAGAAAUAACAAAUCUUGUAAGUACAAGAGUACUUAGUAAACUCAUGAACCAUACCUUGAUGGAUGUUUUGUAAUAUUGUAGGAAUCUCUAUGAGUCAAAUACUACUCUGCAUCAUUUACUACGGCUGAUACCAUACGAUCUUAUCACUCUCGUAUACGCCAAUUAUCAUACCCUUGUUAUACAUAAUCUUUCAUAUCUAAUAAACUGGAGAAUACUCCCCAUUGUUUCAUAAUUCUUUUGUCCUAUAAUACUUUCUUAAUAGAAUAUACCCUUAGAAACCAAUUCCAACAAUCCAUACCUUAAACCUAUGCUCUUCUCUUAAACAAUUGCUCACUGACAUUAUCUUGGGCGGAUACAUACAUAUGGAUGAUACUUAUACAAAAUUUCAUACUAUUGAUUCACACUUAGACAUACCCUAAUAUAAUUUUGUACACAUAUCCAUGCUGAUAAUUCACUGUGUAUAACAUUGUAACACCCUUAACCUGUCUUCGUCGCCAGAUUAGGUUGACCGUACAAUCGAAAACAUUUAAACAUCAUAACAUUCAACAAUUUAAAUAUAUCAUAAAUUAUUCAUUUCAUACAUUUCGUCCCUAAAUCAAGCCCUCGAGGCCCUAAAAAUAGCUUAGAAGCAAUUUGGGACCAAUUUGAAAUAAUUUGGAAAGUUUAGGAAAAAGUUGCAAAAAUUAAAAAUAAGGGUCACACGACCAUAUGGAAUCACCCAAGCUGUGUAACAUUUGAACAAGGGACACAUGACUAUAUCCUCACCCGUGUAACUCACUGAGUAGGGUCACACAUCCAUGUCACACGCCCGUGUACCAGGCCGUGUAACUCUCUGAGUUGCCUUACAAGCUUGUGUGCCACUCCAUGUGUUAGGCCAUGUAACUCACUAACUUGAACUUUAAGAAAUCCUUAGAUGACACACGACCGUGUCGCUAGGCCGUGUGCCUCACGCGAUUGUGUCAUACGCCGGUGUCCUAAGCUAUUUGAACCCAAAAUUUAAUUAAAAUCAAGCCAUUUCAAAACCAUUUCAUGUGUUAUAGCCCAAUUUUACCCACUCUUAAACCUCAACCCUUCAGCCCAAUAACCCCAACAGCCCAAAACCCAAUAAAUAAAUAAACCAUUACAAAUUAACCCAACAACCUAGCCCAAUUCAAAAUACUAGCCCAAAAACUAAAACAUUUUUUAGCAGCAAACCCUUCCCCAAGAUGCAACCACCAAAGUUCAGCCGCAUGCCCCCUCUGCCUUUGGCCAUCACGUGCACCGCCCACAUCUGACACACUUGCAACAGAGACAAAAAUAAUAGCAAGAGAAAGCAUGCGAGGGAUGGGGGAAAGAAUAAACAAAAGAAGACAGGAAAAGAACAGAGAAAGAUGCAAAGCAAAAGCAAAACAAGCAGAGAGCAGUGAAAAUCACAUGUAAUCGGCUAUAAAGCCGAAAGAGAAUCAAUGUAACAAGGGGGAAUUUUGAUCAAUACAAAGAAUUUAUCUUCAUUUUUGCAUCAAUAUUAGCAGAUUAAAACCAAGAAAGAAAGUGGAUAGCGUCGAAUACAAACCAAAAAUCUUAGAAAUCGAAAGCUAAAAAAUCCUAAGGUGAUUUCUGUUCAUCCUAUUUUAAUUUCGCUUUGUGCUUAUUUUUCCACAUACAUAAACUAAAACAUAUAAACAAGGAAAUAUAAAACAAAUAAAUAAAGAAAACAAAAAAAAUAUGAAGUUUUACCUUUCCGGCCACCGUGUACGGUGGCCGGCGCUGCGCCGGCGGAGGUCCGGUGACGGACCGGUGCCCCCUCCCCCCACCGAAAAUCACUCAGCCCUCUCCCCUCUCUCCUUUUUUUUCCCAGCUCCCAAAUGAUUUUUUUUUAUUUUUAGGCUAUUUAUAGCCUCUAAAAACGGCACCGUUUUGACCUUGGGAUCCAGGGCAUAAAACGGCGUCGUUUUGCCCUAGAUCGGGUCGACCCAACCCUACCCACUAGGAUCCGCGUGUUUUUAUAGUGGAAGGGUUAAUUGCGCUUUUAGCCCUUCCGCAUUUUUAUUAUUUUUCAACCAAGUUUUUAGUUAUUCUAAUUUGGCCCAAAAUACGUCGUGUUUUGCAAUUUAGUCCCCCGUGCUGCGCUGUGUUUUGACUAGGGGAUUUAUUGCUGUUUGGGUCCUCCUAGAUUACGCGCGUGUUGCGUUUUGAUCCUUUUUCCUUAUUUCGUUUUAAAAUCGCCCCAGAACUUUGUUUUUGUUUCAAAUUUAGUCCUUUUUUUCUAGAUUUAAGUUAUUUUCGCGUUAUCUUUGUUAUUUUAUUCAUUUUAAAUAUUAUUUAUAUUAUUCUCAUGAUUAUUACUCUUGUUAUUACUGUUAUUUUUAUUCCUUUAUUAUUUAUUAUCAAUAUGUUAUUACUAUAGCUAAUAUUAUUAUUUCUAAUAUAUACUAUGCACAUAUUUUUAUAUUAUAAUAUAGUUAUGUGAUAUUAUUAAUAAGUUGUUUUUUUACAUUGUUAGUAUGUAUAUUAUGUAUGUACUAUGUAAAUAUUCUAAUAGUAUAUUAUAUAUAUAUGUAUUUUUCAUAUCAUUAUGCAUAUAUGUUUUUGUUAUCAUAUUCUUAUAUGUUGUUAUGCUUAUAUUUUAAUAUUGUCAGCUAUAUAUCUUUUAUAUUAUUGUACGUAUAUUUCUAAUAUUAUAUUGUAUAUUUCUAACACAAUAUAUAUAUAUAUAUACUUAUGUAGCAUGUGAAUAGUUUUUAUUUACUAUUAUCAUUUCUAAUAUAGGUAUAUGUUGUGUAUAUUUUAUAUAUGUUAUGUACAUAUUUUUAAUGCUUUCAUCUAUAUAUUACACCAUUCCAUGUAUAUAUAUUUCUAAAUCAUCCUAAGCACAUAGUUUUAAAUACUAUGUUAUAUACAUGCAUACAUAUAUUUUUAAUACUAUAUUAUGUACAUACUAUUAUUACAUUUAUUUUUUAUCCCUAUUGUAUUUAUUAUUAAUAUUGGGACAUAUUAUUUCAUUACUUAUUUUUGUAUGUAUACUAUCCUAUAUUUAUAUUCUUAAUACUACUAUAUACAUAUUUUUGUAUAUUACAUAUAUAUGUUUUUAAUGUUAUAUUUUUAUUUAUCAUGUAUACAUAUUUCUUAAACUAUUCCAUCUACGUAUUUUGAUCAUAUUAUGUAUACAUUCUUCAUAUUAUAUUAUAAAUUUAUCCUUUUAAUACUAUUAUGUAUAUAGUUUUUUUUUAUAUUCGUUACUAUUAAGUAUAUCGUAUGUGUUCAUUUUAAAUAUGUUGGUACUUAUAUUUAGUAUUAUUAUGUAAAUAUUUUUUCACUCCUAUAUUACGUACAUACUCCUAACAUCAUCAUUAUGUAUAUGCAUUUAUUGUUUCUAUUUCGUGUUUAAUUCUAGUAUUAUGUCUAAUAUCGCAUAUAUCUUUUUAUUUUAAUUAUUAUCACAUUUAUUAUUUGCUUCAAUAUAUUCUUUCAUUUAUUUAUUCUUAUCAAUAUCGCUUUGCAUUACUUCGAAAAUCAUGUUCUUGUUUUCUAAUUAAUUUCAAUAAACAAGGCAACGUACUGAUUUAACAUUAAGUCAUCGAUUUCAUCGCUAUGUUGGGUGAACAUCAAUCGACUUGUGUUAAAACGGUAAGUCCUUCUCAAAAAUCAAAAAAUUAAAAAGUUCUCGUGUUUCAACUGGAUCACGACUAAAUGUUAUAUUGAACUUGUAUUUUUGAAAAUCAAAACAACACGUGUUUUACAAGAUACAAAUUUUGGGCGUCGCGAGGGUGCUAAUACCUUCCUCGUGCGUAACCGACUCCCAAACCUUACUUUUUCUCUGGAUUUUAACGUAGGCCUAAACUCGGCCUUCUUUUUGUUUUAAAAAUAAAUUUACUAGGUGUCCGAUCACACCUAUAAAAAGGAUCGGUGGCGACUCCCUUUGUUAAUAAAAUCGAAAGUUAGUUUUCAAAUGUUUAAUAAAUCGCCACAAUUAGAGACCAAGUGAAACUAAAAUUUUUACGUCGCUACAUCAUGCAUAACUAUUUAAACCAUUUAAGCACACAUUCAAGGGGUUCAAACACCAUUCAAUUUGCAAAAACAUACCAUUUCAAGCAUCCUAAAUCACCUAACCAGUAUGUCAUUCAAAGGCACCACAAUAUACUAAAACAUCAACUAACAAACUUGUUAUUUUUCCAAACAUAAAUACCUAAUUCAAACACCUACCAAAUCAUAUCACAUUUACCACUUUCAAGCCAUUACAAACAUGCUAAAAUACCAUGCAUUUCAAUUACCUUAAAGUAGUCAUCAAGACCUUUCUACGAUGAGCUUCCAACCAAAUUGAGCUUCCGAUGAUUUAUAAAACAAAGAAAAGAAACUACAUAAGCAACGAGUGCUUAAUAAGCUCGUAUAAACUUUAAACAUAACUUACCAUUUCAAUAAUACAAUACAUAGAUUAAACCUAAUUCAACACCAAUUCCAUAAGCUUAGCAAAGCCUAAUCAACAUCACCAACUCACAAGUUAGUAUAUCUAUCCAUAACAUAAUUGUAAUUGUAACGGCCUAAAUUCAAGGUUAUCAGAAUAGUGGUUUCAUAACCACAAAUCUGAUUUAAAGAGAAAUUUAUUUCAAUAUUUUUGCAUUAAAAUUGAUAUGAUAGGAAAAUCGUAUGAAAAUAUUGAUAAAUUUUUUUUACUGAUUUAGUGGUUAGUUAGAAAAAGAAAUUAUUGAAGAAAUUGGGUAAAAACAAGGUAUCGGGACCUCUAUCUCAUAAAAAUGAGUCGAAAAUAAUUUUAUAAAUAUUUAUGAAAUGUUAGUAAUGUGGUAUUAAAAUUUUGUUAGGAAAUUUUAAUGUUUGGAUAGUCAAUUAAGUGAAAAGGACUAAAUUGUAAUAGGUGUAAAAGUUGCUAGAAUGAUUAAAUAGCGUAAGAGUCUAAUGAGAAAGGAUUUAAAAGGGAAUUAGACCCAAAAUUUAUUUGGACUGGACGGAAAGGGCAUGAAAUCAGCAGGAAAAUUGAUAAAUUAAGGGCAAAAUUAGAAUAUUGCAAAAUUAACUAAAUAAAACUAGGACUAAAUAGGAAAUAUCUAGAUUUCUCUUCAUUUCUCUUCAAUUCCAGCAGCUAAAAAUGCCAUAUGAGGGUUAUCUAAGCUGGUAUUCCAUAAUUUUUUCACUAAGUGAGUUAAUCCUUGCCUUUUUCUUGUAAUUUUUGUGUUUCUAAGACUUUUACAACUAGGUCCUACUACUAAAUUCAUUAGUUUUUGAUUUCAUGGAUGGAAUUGAAAGUCACCAUGGUUGAGUGCUGUAAGUUUAUGAUGAAAUAGAAUGAUAUUAAAGCUUUAAUUUGUUUAUGAUAUGAUUUUAUUAGGUAAUUUCAAUAGAAAUUGAUUUUUAGGACCUAAUUGUGAAAAUGCUUGGAAUUAAAGUCUAUUUCUAAAAUUAUGAUUCCUAAAUGUUGUAAACUAGUUUAAGGUGAUAUAAUAAAAUGUUAAUUGAGAAAAAUCAGCUCAAUUGAGAGGCUAAUUGAGUAGGGACGAAAUUAUCAUUUAUUAAAAGCUUAGGGGAAAAAUGGUAAUAAACAGCUUGCACAAAAACAGUUUGGACAGCAGCAGUAGACUAACUUUGAAAAAUCACCAUAAAUUUUAGAAAUCGAAUUAGAAGAUGAAAAAAAUAUUGAAUUAAAGCUUAUUGAGUCUAGUUUCUCAUAGAAGAAAUAAAGUAAGCAAUGGAUUUUUAAAUUUUGAGAUAUAAUGAAUUUUGUGAGACAAGGUCAGAAUAAAUUCGGGUUCCCCUAUUCUGACUUUUAAAAAUCAUAAAAAAUUGAAUAAAAAUAAUUAGGGGCUUAACUUUAUAUGUAUAAAAUCCUGAAUGAGUCUAUUUUUAAUAGAAACAAACAAGAACAUCAUUUGAAUCCUGUAUGAAGAGAUAAUUAAUUUUUAGUGAAGAAGGGUCAGAAUUGUCAGACAACAGAACAAGGGUGACUUUAAAGAAUAAACUGUACUUAUUGGAUGAACCAAAAAUUCUGCAAAUUUUAUGGUAAGAAGAUAUAUGAGUCAGUUUCAGUGAAAAUUAACGGAUCUUAGUUUUGAGUUCCGUAGCUCAAGUUAUAAAUAAUUUAGUGACUAUGACUCAAAUAGACAACUUUGAAUAAACUAUAAAUAAUAAUAGUUGAAUUAUAGAGAAUGUUGCAUAUGAACAUGAAAUGUAUUAAAUUGAUAAUUAAAUUUAUUUAUUUAAAUCCAGAAGAUUCAAAUACGAAGCUAGAUUGAGGAAAGGAAAAAUUUCGGAAUUAGUAGAUUUUUUUUGUUUACAAACAAGUAUCAAGGUAAGUUCGUGUAACUUGAAUUAUAUUCUUAAAUGCUUGAGAUUGUAUGUUAUUGAUGUGAAUAUGAUUUGAAUGUUCAUUGUAUAAAAAUUAAUGAAACAUUGAUAUAUUUGAUAAAAUGGGAAGAAAUCCCGGUUGAAUGAAAGAAAAGUUUGAUGGAUCUCUGAAAAGUAAUUGAUGGUAAAAAGGAUCUAGCCCAGACGGGUGAUCCUAUCUUGAUAUAGCCCUCCCGAAGAAUAUGUGUAAAAUGGAUUUAGCCCGGACGGGUAAUCCGAAUUAGGGUCUGAAUUUAGCCUGGACUGGUAAUUCAGAUCCAAGCUCAUUAGAGUAAUUGUCGUUGUAGGGGAUUUAGCCUGGACUGGUAAUCCCGACAAUACUCUAUGAGUUUAUAUUACAGGGGAUUUAGCCUGGACUGGUAAUCCUACUGCAAGGUUGAGGUUCGCGGGAGUGUGCUCUCUGAAAUGGAAAUGUGCGCACAUGAAUAUGAAUUGACGAACCCGAAAUUGUACACUAAAAGUGUACCUCUGAAAAUCCAUCGAAAUUCUGAUAAAUUCAACGGGAUAAAUAUGGAAAAAUAGCAAGGAAAUGGAAAUUAUGAUAUUGAUGAGCUCAUCAAUCAUGGUAUAUAUUAUUGGUACAUGGAAAUUAUUGUACUAACUUGAAUGUUGAGUUUGUGCAUAUUAGGGUAAUAAUGCAUUGAAUGGAUAUAUGAAUGUUUAUUGUAUUGUAUUGAAAAUAUUAGGUAAGUAUAAUUCUUGUUACAUAAGCUUACUAAGCACGAAGUGCUUACCCCGUUUCCUUUUUCCCUGUUUUGUAGUGUUAAGAGCUCGGAGGUCGGAUUUGGUCGGAGACACAUCACACUAUCAACUUCAGGAUUUCGGUAUAUAAAGAAACUUUAUUUUGGAAAUCAAUGGCAUUUAUAAGCUAAUAAAGUAAAUGUUAACGUGAAAUGAAUAUAAAGUUAGCCAUUAGUAUGGUUAACAAACCUGGUUUUGGGUAUGUGAUGACGUUAUCUUAUAAAUAUGCAUGAAUUUAUCUUGAAAAUAUGUUGAAUUGGUUUGGUUGAAGUGGAUUGGUCUCGAUUUAAUAUUGCAGCGAAGGUUAGAUAUUUAUAAAGGGGCUAUAUUGAAUUAAAAAAAAUCAUAAACUUCGGUAAUACCUCGUACCCUAUUCCGGCAAUGAAUACGGGUAGGGGUAUUACAGUAAUCAACCAUAAGAUAUGUAAAUUUCCAUAUGCACAGCAUCAUUUAGUUCAUAAAUCCUUUCACCAAGUCAUGAUUCAAUCCAUUUGCAUACUUACCAUUUCAUUCCAUUUUUUUACCCGUUGAACCAUCUAAAAUUACAUCGGAUACUCGGGAAAGCUCACACGAAGUGUGCCUUUACAUAUAACUAUAACCUUUCCUUUACAUUAUUGCUCACAUGAGCUAUUGGUCAGAAUGUAAGCUACAUGAUACUGCUCACACGAGCUGUGGAGAAUCUACAAUAAAUGCAGGACCUCAGCCAUCGGUAGGACAUUCAAGACCAGCACUUGAAACAUGAAAUCCCUAAUGAUAUGUCAUUUGUAUCUUAAGAAUUCUUAAGGUUCAACUGGGACUCGAUAUCUGUCAAUUCAUUAUAUCAUUGAUACAUUUAUAUAUAUAUAAAUAUAUAUAUUUAAGUUCGUUUAUAUCAAACCAAUAUAAUGAACAUUCAAUUUAACUGGCAUAAAAAUGGUUACAGUUCAUACGAACUUACCUCGAUGACUAGAGGCAUAGAAGUUAGAUCGAAUUAAUCCGAAGUUUUAGCUUUUCCUCAAUUUAAGUCCGAACGUGGUUUAUGUUGAUCUAAAUAGACAAUUUCAAUCAAUUAAAUACUUCUAGUACUCAAUUUAAUUCACAUUUCAUAUUUACGCAAAAUUAUCAAUUUGUCCCUAAUGUUUUAACUUUUUACAAUUUAGUCCUUAAGCUUAUAACUUAAAAUCUAACCAUUUUAAUCUAAAUCCAUGCUAAUCAAAUAUGAAAAGGACAUUGAAACAACCCAUAUUUAUCAUCAUUUCACAAUAAAACCCUAGAAUUUAUACCUUUAACAAAUUAAUCCCUAUUUCCAAAAUUCAUCAAAAAUCACUUAACAAAACUUGUUUAUUUUUCAACAAAGAUUGAUAAUCUAUCAAUUAACAUAAAAAAAAUCAUUCAAAAACAUUCAUGGUGAGUCUUUCAACAUUUAACAGUUUUGCAAAUUAACCCCCGAACUAGCUAAAUUAAGCUAAAACGAUUUCAAAAACAUAAAAAUAGUUAAACACGAGAUGAAAAACGCAUACCAUCACUAUAAUGAACCUAACCAAACCAAGUACUCAUCCAUGGAGGUUUUCUUCCUCUUAAAAUCGGUUAAUGGUGAACAUAAAAGAUGAUACCUAAUUUAUAUUCUUCUAUAAAGACAAAUAAUCAGUUUCAUAGCUUACCAGAUAUUCUUGACAAUUCAUGCCACAUAGACUUAGCAGAACACCAUACAAAAAUUCAGAUAGAGUACGACACUAAGGUGAUCCAUUCAGAGUUCGCUACAAAGGCAUUCAUUUUAGAGUUUACCAUAAAGGCUAAAUGUAACACCUCAAACCCGACCUAGAUGUUAUAGCCGAAUCUGGCGAUGUUACAUGGAAUGAAAUUUGAGAUCGAAUUCAUCAAGUUAAAACUGUUUCAUUUAUUAAAUUUUAUUUAUCCUUCAUCAAUUUCAAAACUAUUUCCUCGUUAAUUUGAUUCGUUUAAAAAUACAUUCUGUAGAGGAAGCUUUUAAAAUCGUGAUAUUUAAAAAAAUCAUUUACGUUUAGGAAAAACAUUGCUUUUAAUAAAACCAAGUUUUUGUUGCAAUUCUAAAAUUCAUGAAAACAGUUAAAAUCCAAAACAAAAGCAAACAGUCCAACAGUUCCAAAUUACAUCAAAAAUACCCCAGAAAACAAAUAGGAAAUAAACACCACAACUGAAGUUAAAACAGUUCAAUAAUCAUGUGGUCACCGUUGAGCCCUUCGCCACAUCGAUCCGUCUAAGUCUGAGGAUUACCUAUACAGAUAAAAUAGGAAGGGGUGAGUUUACGUAAACUCAGUACGUAGUCCCCACAGAAGACAUGCAUACAGUCAAACAACAGUUAUCAGUCAAAUACAGUCUGGGCCUAAGCCCAUUACAGAUUUAGAUACAGUUUAGGCCUUAGCUCAUUCAGAUAUAGUUCAGAUAUAAAUUAAGGCCUUAGCCCAUCUCAGAUACAGUAUACAUACAGUAGCAGAAAUCAAUAUCCUACCCACCAGCCUCUACACACCAUCUCCAACCAUCCCUACACGUAAUGUGGGGUUUAAAACACCCACCCAGUCCUACACACCAAGUCGUACCGAAUGCGGCACAUAUCAGUAAUAUUGCAGCUAAGCUGCCAGAUAAUGGCAUGAAAGCCUUUCAGUACACUUCCUCUAAUAAUCAAUCAUCACACCCUAAUGCAGAUGCAACUAAACAUGCUCAAUGUAGCUAUACAAAAAUACAUGCUUACAUGCUAAUAUUCAGUUAUCAAUCAUACAUACAGAUCAGUAAACAUGCAUAAAUUUAACACGCUCAAUACAUAUAUUGUAUGCUCAGAUCACACGAGUUAGGGUCUAAGUAGCGCUUACCGACCCUACGGUAGGUUCACAAUCAACUUGGGUGACCCGUACAACCCUAGGAAACAUUUUAGCUAAAUGGGCCUAUACGUCCAUGUGGGCUUACACGCCCGUGUGGCCCACACACCCAAAUUGACUUUGACCUCGUAUGGAUCAUACGGCUUGGCUUAAAUUUCCACACACCCGUGUGGGCCCACACCCACAUUUUGGUUAAGCUUGUGUGGCCUAUACAACCACACUUCAACACUACAUGGUCGUGUGUUAAACACGACUCUGUUUUCGUCAACCACACGGCCGUGUUAUUGCACAGGGCCUACCAUAUGAGUGACCACACGCCUGUGUGGUGUUGACAGUGGGGUUUUUUGGCUUUCACCGAAUCCCGCCUUUCUGUAUUUCGAGUACACACCUGGUUCAUUUUCAUCGAUAUUACAAUCCUGAGAUCUCUAGAACCUAUAAUCGACAUUAUCAAAGUCUGAAUUUAAUAACACAAAUGAAAACUAACCCGAGAAUAUUUCAUAACGAAACCUUAGAACAUCAAAUAGUGAACUCAGUUAUUUACCGACAACGAACCAAAAUCCCAAACGUUCAAAUCUCUAUAGAAGCAUUAAUUGCUGCUUGAUCAUUACCUAAUCAAAAGAACCAAAAACAAACAGCGCUCUUUCAGAAAACCAACUAUGGAACGAUAAGAUAGAGACAAAAUGACACUUACCAAACGAGCGAAUUUAAUUGUUGAACAAGAAGGAGACAACACGAAAAUCGAAAGAGUAGAGGAAGGAAACAAUAGAGAAGAAAAGGAAAUUUUGAAUAAGGUCAAAAUUUUAGGAAAGGGAAGUCAAAAUUUUUAAAAAAAUGAAUAAAAAAAUAAAACCUGAUAACUUCCCAAGCCCCUUAAUUAUCUCCACUGACCCACUACUCAGAAUUCCUAUUUGACCGAAACUCUUUCAGUUAAACGAACAAAAAUAAACUCCCAUGCUCACGCAGGGAUUCAAACACAAGACCUUCAGCAAACAAACACUCAACUUAACCACCAGACUAGUAGGCCCAUUCUGAUGUGGUUUUAUAAAUAAUUUAAUAUAAGCUCGCUGAACAAGUGUAAGGCUUAAGUCAGAAAAAUACUAAAAUUUGCCAAAUGCAAGACUUGAACUUAGGAUCUCGCACACACACCCAGAACACUUAACCACUGAAGCAGAUACACAAUUGUGUCAAAGCUUACAAAAGCAGAAUUAUAAAAUUUGGGGCGUUACACUAUUAUUUCAGAGUUCACCACAAAGGUUAUUCUUGGUUGUCGUGUUUACGAUAUGGAUUUGCCUAAAUUCACAUUAUGUGAAGUUUGCCCAUCAUCUUUCUGGGACACGUAAAGGACCCCAUUGGGUAAUCACCAUUCUUUAAUUCUUUUUCAAACGGUGUCAUGGCCAUGAACUUUCUUUCAGAGUUCCUAUUUUAAGUCUUGACGGGCUCUAUCAAACACCACCGUAGUGAACAGACAUAGACUCUGUUGACAAACUCUUCAUGCAUUGACACAAUCUAAAUUCAACGUUUUACUUUACUAAUAUACACCCAAACCGAACACGCAUAUCAUAACAUACAUUUCAGACAUAUACAUACUCAAACAUAUUUCAAUGUUUCAAUACUCGUACACCAAUCAUAACAUAUUAUACAAUUCAUGACUUGGAUCUAUAGUUCAAUCAUUUUUCAUACAUGACUCAUAAUAUGAAUACUAUACAUAUAGGAGCCAAUAUAGGCUCACUUGAAUCUCACCUACUGCAAUUCAAAGCUCCAGACCCAAAUAUCCAUCACGGACCAACAACAACCACUUCUUAGAAGUAUAAUUUCACCAUUAAUACUCUUGUACAUAAAAAUUACUUAUCAUUUCAAUCGCUGACAAUCCUGUGCAGAAAUCUUAUACUUACAAUCUUGCUAUUCAAUUACCAAUAUAGAUUUACUCAUUUAGAACUUAACAUGUAGAGUUGAAAUACUUACCCUGAUACGAAGUAACUACUAAUCAUAAAAGGACCUUAGCCUCUAGAUUAUCGAUGUAGGAUACUGUCAGAUUUAAGGAAGGUUUUAGUAUAUACUACUUAAGAAAGAAGAAUGAGAAGAAAGAAAAACCUCUUUUAGAACACGUUCUCACAUAUAAAUAUGACUGAUUUUGCUUCGUGAAAUUUAACAAGUGUCAUACGUAUCAGAACUUACCUUCUUAUUGGCCUACAAUUUUUGAGAAAAGUAUAAAUAAGUUUCCUUCAUCAAACUUCUCAGGUUGAACUAUACAAUUGAUUUCUAACCAGAUACUUAAAAUCUAACUAGUACAGUAUUCUAUACAAACCAGGCGUACUAUACAUUUGUUGAAUACUUAUCCCAUAUUUCUCUUUUAUCUAUUAACACGAAUGUCUCUUUAAUAUAGUAGAAUAUCAUGAAAUCAAAUUCUUACUAGCUCAAGUGGCGGUUACUAUACGCCCACAUGUAUGCACCAAAAUAAUUUUUUGGGCGGAUAACACCAUGCGAAACAGACUAUUUACUACAAUACGCCCAAAACUUUAAAUUCGCUAGAACUCGAGUGUUACAAUUGCAACAGCUCAAAGAAUAAUAUUUCAACAAUAACAUAUAUGCAACAAGAAAAAAGGCAAACAUGUUAAAUGAUUUGAGAUGAGGUAAUUCAAAAAGUGUUACUCAUACUAUUACAACACCACAAUAAAAAAGCAAUAAAUAAAAAAAUUAUAUUUGAAUGAGAAAAUAUCAACCGUAUUUUAUAUAACACCCUAUACCUGAUCCGGUCACCAAGUAUGAGCUAGAGGAUGUCACAUUCGUUGUUGGAGCAACUACAAUUAAUUACAAUUCAUUUUCAUAGUUAAUACAUAUUUUUAAGUUUAAAAAAUCAUUAAGUCAUAUUAUACAAUCAUAUACGAGCUUUAGAAAGCUCUUUAGAUAACAUGAGGUCGAAUAAAGAUCAAAUUGUAAAAUUUUCAGACUAUCAAUUUGACAUUACAACUUUGGGAGCUCUAGCUUAUGAUAUAACUCAUUGACUAUCCCUUGUUGCUAUGCUGAGGGCCCGACUUUGCGACGUCACUCACUAUUUUCAAAAGGUUUGUCACACCUCAAAAAAAGGAUCAAAAGACUUGUGAGGUAUGCAUGUUAAAUAUUUGGGCGCACUAUGGUACCAUAAUCCACCACCUUGUUCGCUUGUUGACGAAUUAGAGUAUUGACACAUAGUGGCAUAAAGUAUCUACCCAUUGACAUACCUAAGGAUUUAAUGACAGGGUAUCUUCAAGUGAAGAAAGAAUACGCUUAAGAAAUAGUACGCCUCCAAAGUUUUGGCUGAGCAAGAAAAGCUUACCAAGUGUAUGAGAAAGUUGUAGGAGACUUAACUGUCUUUAAGACCGUGCUAUAUGCGAGUCACCGCCAAGGUAUAGUACGUUCGAUUUGUAUGAGUACUGUUUAAGUUGGUUUUUGUAACAUGAUUAGUUAGGAGUCAAUUAAAUUGAUUUGACCCUCCCCAUGACUGAUCAAACAGUAAUGUAGGUCUUCGUUAGAUUUUCUUUUACCUACCCCCAUUUUUGGUAGGAAAAUCAGGGGGACAAAGAGUAUAGAUAAGGUGAUAGAGAAGGGGGACUUAAGAGAUGGUUUUUUUUCUACUUGACGUUCUGGUCCUUCUUUUUAACCUAAAUGUUAUCUUCUUCUUUGUUAAGCUAAAGCUAAGGUUUCGUUUAAUUAGUGGAUAGUUCAACCUUCUGACAAGACUUAUAGCUCUAUAUGUUACAAUAGUUGAACAAUAAGGAUGUUAAAAGAUGCAAGAACAGUAGGGUGUGAGAAGAAUGCCCUGCAUGGGGGUCCAUAUAGUUGAAACAUUAGUAAACUAUCUGUGAUGGGGAUUCUAAUGGAAAUCCCAUGAUAUUUUAAGCAAUUGUUGCUGCUGGUUUGGAAAGGACAACCAAAAUAGAAGUUCAAACUGGAGGUAAAGGUGGGUCUCUGAUGAGUCUCUAAACUCGACUCUUGUGUGAUAUUUUAUGAUAGCUUCUUGUACGGUUGAUGUUCUUGUAGUUGUGCUUAAGGAGUUGUUCUAUGUACGUGUGUGCAAAUUUUCUAUGAAGCAUCUGCAAGUAUGUAAAUGAAGUGUAUAAUAUGCUGCUUGAAUAUGACGAUGUGUGGUAAGCAUGCAUAAGAAGUUAUGUGUUGGAAAGUAUGACUCUAUUAUGGUAUGAGAAAAAUAUAUGUAAAUGUGUUCAUUAUGUUAAUUGAAUAAUGCAUGACAAAGUAUGGUUGGCAAUAAGGGGGUUUGAGCUGAGUGUCGGAAAAAUAUGUGAUAUGAUAAUGGCCCACGUGGUGGUGCUUUGAUGACAUCCGAUGGGACAGUGAGCAUGAAAAAAAUACCAGUAUGACAGAUAUGUGGAAAGACCAUGACCAUGACCAUGGCAUAUUUUGGAAAUGGCGGAUGAGCCGUAUUUAUCUACUAGGGUUUCUGUAUGUCUCGGGGGUGAUGAUGGGCAAACUUUAGGUAAUGCUGAGUUUAAGUAAAUCCAUAUCGUCAAACACUAUAUUUUAUGUGGUCCCUUUGUGGCAAACCAAAUAAGGCUUAUGUGACACAUUAUCUGGAAAGCCUUUAUAGUGAGUUACCUGAAAGGCCUAUGUGGCAUAUUAUUUGGGAAGCCUUAAUGGCGAAGUUAUCUGGAAAGGUUUUGCAGUAAGUUGUCUAGAAAGCCUAUAUGGAAAAUUCUAUAAUGCUUAAGUGACUAGUUUUUAGUCUGUCUUUGUGGUGAGAUCUAGGUAUGCCUUUGAGGCAUUUUUUGAAAGAGUUUUCAACAGGGUAACCGACUAAUGAAUUUGCCAUGGUAACCUGCUAGGACAGAGAGUUGGCAUAUCUGUAAUUAUGUGUGGUGUAAGUGUUCGCCAAACCUGGAAGUUUUAACAUUAUGUAUCAAAGUCAUCUAAGUUUCUAUUGGAUCAUCUAAAAUAUUGCAUUCAUCAAACUAAGUUCGUUGUUUGGAUUAAUUUGAAGAUGCAGUGUGACUAGAGUGUUGACAGCCCGCCGAGCCAGUAUAAGAAUCCGCCAAGAGUAGUAUCCGUAUGUAUAUCAUUUUGAGGAAUGUAUCCAACUUAUAUCUUUAAAGAGAUUGUGAAUUAGGAUCCACAAUAAGGUGUGAAGUCUGGGAUUUUUCAAUCGAGCGGUAUAUGCAUAAGGGGGUCAAAUGUAAAAAUUAGCGCACUGUUAUCCACCAUCAAUCAGAAAAGUAUUUGCCAAAGUCUUAAAGGAAGUCCAAAAUCUUCAAGUCGAGGAAUCAAACAACAACGUUUAAAGGUAAUAUUGGUUAAGACUCACUAAGUUCUGUUGAACUCACAAGCAUCUAUUUGUAAUGCAGAUUCUUGGAAUUAAAUUAGUGCAUUAGAAGGGACCAAGCCAAGAAUACGCCAAUGUGGCAAUUUGAAGUACGAUAUUAUGCAUACAGAGGCGUGUUUUUGGAUAUAUGAUGAAUAGUAUUCUACACCAUGAUUAAGUCGAUUUUAACAAAUAUUUAAGUGUAAUGUCUUAUAUUGCUUUUGAGAACAUGUUGUAUUUAAUAAUGUUUCUUUCAAAAUCUUUUGACUUAGAAAAGAAAAUAAAUAAAUAAGAAAUAUGUUCAGUGUGGAUUUCGCUAGUUCUAAAAUUUUGUUAAGUAUUAUGGCAUCCUAUAUCUGGGUCCAAUAAAUCGGGUCGGGUAUAGGGUGUUACAAGGUCCGUAUGGUACCUAUUCAGACCACUUAAAACAAUCCAUCAAAUGCCUCAAUUCAACUAUUUCAACAUAUAUCAUUCUCAUAUGCUUAUUUUUAACCUUUAGCAUCACAUGUAUAUAUAUAAAAAUUACACAAAAUCAUUAUCUCAACCUCAAAUCAUAUAACAAUUUCUACAUGCUAACCAUUUAAACCACUUAACUGCUACUUGUGCCAAUAUCAAAUAUGCAUUAAACAAGUUAUGAAUAUUAGACUUGUAAUAACUCGAAAGUUAGUGGUGUUGGAAAAGUAGUUUUGGAACCUCGUUCUCUGAUGAUCGAGUUUGUAAAUGUUAUUAAUUAAUAUUUAUGAGUCAAUUUUAGUACUAUAUUGAAUUUUGGUCUAACGAAUUUGGUACUUGGAUAGUUAGUUAAGGUAUAAGUAUUUCGACCCUAAAGUUAGUGAAGUUAGAAAAUGAGGUACCGGGACCUCAUUUUCGUAAAUCGAGAUCAUAAAUAUUUUUAUUAGAUAUUCAUAGAGUUAUUAUAUAGGUGAAUUGAAUUUUGGAUAGGUAAUUUCAUCGAAUUAGUGACUAAUUAAGGUAUAAGGACUAAAUCGUAGAAGUUAUUUAAAGGUUUAAGGAUUUAAUUAGUAAUUAAACCAAGGCCUAAAAGGGAAAAUAAUCCAUUUUAGAACUUGGUGGACAAUUUGGUAAGUGAUAUUGAUAAAAUAUAUGUUUAAAAUUAUAAUUAUAAUAUUAUAAUAUGUAUAUAAGUAAAAAUAGAAGAAACAGAACACCAUUUAGUUCAUCUUCUUUCUUUACAAACUGAAAUAGCAAAUAAAAACAUCAAAAAGCCAUAGUCGAAUGCUCCAAACAAUCGACACUUGCAUGGUAAGUCAAAUCGAGCCUGUUAUUCGUAAAUUUUACAUUUUUGUGAUUGUUAUAGCUCGAUUUAACUAACCUACCUGUCAUUUUUCAAAACCAUUAUAGUUUCUAAAAAAAAUUGUUUAAUUCUUGAUGAAAUUGAUGUUACAUGGUUAUAUUUUAAGCUUAGAUAUGACAAUGGACUAAUUUGUAAAGUGAAAGCUGUUAAUUUUGAACAUUAGGACUAAAGUGUAAUAUUUUAAAAUUGGCAUGAAAUUUAUGUAAUUAUAGAUAAUAAAGGUUGUAGAAAGAUGAAAUUGAGAUCAAUUGAGAAAUCGAAGCUCAAUUUUGAAAGUUUUGUUAAUUUUAAUUUUAAGGACUAAAUUGAAUAAAAUGCAAAUUUUAGAGGCAUUAGAAUAAUGAAAAUGAGCUGAUAAAUGCUUAUAGUAGGAUGAAAUAAGAGAGCUGUAAUUGAUAAAUUGAAUUGAAUUAUUGAAUAGAUUAGAAAUUGGACCAAAUCGAAGAUAAUCGGGGAAAUGAAAAAAAUUGUUAAUUAGUCCUUAUAGAGUUGUUUGUUGCUAUUUUGACCAGGUAAGUUCAUAACGUAUGUUUGUGUUAAAUUUUUAUCUGUUUACAUUAUAAAUUUAAAUAUGUUUAAUUGAAAGUUGGAUUGUUUACAAUUUGGUACUAAAAAGGUGAGAUAUAGACUAAAUCAUAAAGAAAUGACAAGUUGGCUGAUAAAUUUGAAUAUAAUGAAUUGCAAUAUAAGAUUGAUUAGUUGAAUUGAAUCAAGUUGAUAUGAUUAUGUUUGAGAUAAAUGACUAAAUUGAAUAUAUUUGAAAAUAUUAUAUAUUUUUGUAAUUGCAAAAUUGGCUUUAGAUGAAUUAUAAUAUUAUGCAUAUAAAUUAAUAAUUGGAUGAUUAAAUGACAACAUUGAAUUGAUAAAUUGGCUUAUAAAUGAAAUUGAGUAAAUUGCUAUGCUAUUAUCUGUUCGAGCAGAGUCGAAUAUAGUUGGCAUGCCAUAGGAUAGGAAGAGUUCAGAGUUGCUUCGACUGCGUGUCGAUGAGGCAUCGGGUGCCAAAUCACUUUGAUUAUACCGAUGAGCAUAGGGCAUAAUGCAUAUACUUCGGAUUUGUUCGAUGAGGCACUGAGUGUCAAACUGGUGUGAUUGGUUGGAUCUGUGUAUCCGUCCGAAUUCGAGUCAAGUUAAUAGGGAUACAAAAUGUAAAUUGGAUAAAUGAUAUUCGAAUUGAAUUGAUAUUAUGAUUUGAUGUUUUAUAGACACAUUGUGAUAUAUGGAUAUCGAUAACAUGUAAAAGAUCAUACGAAUCGAUUAUAUGUGCUUGGAUGGUCGAUAUGGAAAUGUGAUGAAUCAAUGAAUUUGAUUCAGAAUUCAAAUAAUGAAUGAAAUAAUGAUUGACGUUAAAUUGAAAUUGGAUAUGUAGUUGAUAAAUAAAUGAUAUGAUAUGAUAUUAUGAGAAUGAUGUUCAUAUGGUUAAAUGUUGAAUUGGUUUUGGGAAUGAUAUUGAAAUGUGAUUCUAAGUUAUUUUGCUUAUUUCAUAUUUGAAUUGUUAUAUGAUGAGGCUAAAGGUUAACUCACCUUUUUUAUAUUUGAUUUACCAUGUUAAGCAAGCUUUACCAAGCUAAGUAACAUGUAGUGUUUAAUUAUAAACUGAGGUAAGUUACUUGGUUUAAUGCCUAUGAAUUUACUAAGCAUUCGAUAUGUUUACCUCGUCGUUUCCCUUUCCCCUUAGAUCGCCAACUUGCGAAAUGUGUCUAGCGGAUUGCCGAGGAACUCACACUAUCUUUUUAUUGAUUUGGUAAACUUUCUAUCGUUUAAAUCUCGAUUUUGUGGCUUGUACAUAGGUUUUAUGUAAUAGUAAUGUUGAAUUGAUUGUUGGUUAACCUAGUAUGUAUGGAAUUACAGAACUUAACGUUCAUAUGCAUAGAUGUAUGAAUCAGAAACUUGCAUAAUGUUGUGUAUGGCAUCUAAUUGGCAUAAUUGAACUCGAUUUGGUAUGGUUAAACUUGGUUUGAAUAGCUUACAAGCAUGAAAUGUAUAAAUUGAUGUUUGAUUGGGAUGGAUUGGUUGAAAUGGUGCCAAAUUGAGGCAUAUUGGUUUGUUUGGUUUAGAAAUGGAUAGAUUAAUGCAUUGGUAUGGUGUAGAAAAUUAAGGUGAAAUUAUGCUCCUAAUAAGUUAAUGGUAUAGUUGGCUUGGAAUAGGUACCAAAUGAAUUGAUUUUUGCCAAAAACAGUUAUUGUCCUAAUGACCACAAUUCCUCAUCGCAACGUUGGUCGAACAAUAGGUGAUGUUGGGUGGCUUGACGUCGUGACAUGAUAAACUGUUUGGUGACAUCACGACGUGGAGGAGAUGAUGUCUCGACUUCGGCCCUGGAUUUCUAAAACUUUACAAUUUGAUCCUAUUUCAUGCUCAGGUCAACAAAAAAGCUUUCAUAAGCUCUAUUAAAACUCGGAUUCAACUGUGUAUCAUAAUAUCUAGGUGUUGAUGAUAUGAUUGAAUAUUUGAAUUAUUUAUUUAUAAAAUAUUUGAUCUGAAAUUUUAAGAGUGUUUCAAAAAUGUUCUUAUUUGAUCUCGGGUUGACUUUAAAGCAUCUAUAUGCUCAUAUAAAACUCGAAAAAGAAUUUUCAUGUUAUUCUGUAACACCUUAACCCGUUUUCGUUACCGAAUUAGGGUUACAGAAUAUUACUAAUCACUCAAAAUUCAUUUAACAUCGUAUUAUUAAAUAUAUUAACAUUAUUAAAAACCAACCAAUGAUAUGCAUUUUAUCCCUAAAUCGAGCCUUCGAGGCCCUAAAUAUAGCUUAUAAGUGAUUCAGGACUAAAUCGAAACAAAUCAGAGGUUUUAAGAAAAAGUUGAAAAAAUUCCAAAACAGAGGACACACAGCCGUAUAGAAUGCCUCAGGCUGUGUAACUUUCGAAAGAAGGACACACGGUCGUGUCUUAGCCCGUGUCCUACCCUUGUAACUCACUGAAUUGGACCACACGAUCGUGUUGUAGGCUGUGUGUCAGACUAUGUAACUCUUUGACUUGAGACACACGGCUGUGUCGCAGGUCGUGUGCUAGGCCAUGCAACACACCGUGUGUGGCACAUGGCCAAGUGACACGGGCGUGUCCAAGGCCGUGUGCACCUAAAUGAACCUUAACAGACAAGUUUAUCAUUUCAAGCUUACUUGGACCCUGAGUAAUCCAUUUAUCAACCAUUAAACCUAUUCAAAUUGACAUUAUACAAUCUUAAAAUAUGUUAUAUCAACCAUCUUAAGUGCUUAACCAAUGUACUAUCAUUGGUACCACAAGCAUACACAAUUGAACAACAAAAUGAAUUAUUAACCAAAACAUGUUAAUUCACACAACUUAGACCCAACCAAUAUGCCUAUCAUAGGCACUUCAAAUCACAUCAUUUCAAUAUAACACAUACAAUAAACUUGUACUAAGAACAUCUUCUUUUGUUCACAUAUAUCAUAAUAAGUAACCUACUUGCAUUUAAGAUCAUAUAUUAAAAAUUUACAUAUCAAAACAAUAAAAAUGAUAAGAAAGCCUAUUAUAUGCCAUAUAAUCCAAAAUAACAUUCCAAAAACUACCAAAAAUGGAUCGAUAGUGUGAUUAGUGUUGAUCUGACCGUCCAACCUUUAAAACUAUCUACAAGAACGGAAAAUAACACAAGUAAGCUUAUUAAAUCUUAGUAAGUUCGACGUACAAAAAUAAUAAAUCUUACCAAAGUAAAUAUAACAAUUCAAUAAAAAAUGAUCCAAUAACACAUGCUUCCUGUCAUCCACAACUACUACUAGUGAAAUGCAUCUCUCCAUUCAAAGCUCAACAAAAGUUCUUCAAGAAUAAUGUACAUAUCCGCAAAAUAAUCAAUUCUAGAUAUCAAUUACAUGCCAUGCCAUUCAAAGUCAUUAUAUAAGUAUAAUACAAUAAUUUACGAUUUGAUGAAUGACUUAUAGAUACGAGCAAAGUAAUCCAUUUGAAAACAUGCCAAGUGCUCAUAAGAGCUUAUCCACCCGAUAACACGCCAAUUGCUCCGAAGAGCUAGUCCAACAGAAAACAUGCCAAAUGCUCAUAAGAGCUAAUCCACCAGAUAACAUGCCAAAACAGGGAGUAUAACACGAGAGUUCGCAACAAAUGCUGAACCUUAGCCUAUUCGGGAAAAAUAUAUAUAUCACUUCACAUCAAUCUCCACCCCAAUCCCCACAUAACACUCCGUCAUUCAAAUGUACUCUAUCUUGUGUUCAUCUGACCAAGUAUUGAAAUUCAUUAACAUUUCUCAAACAAAUUUACAUCGACAAUAAAACAAUUAUAUCUAUUAUAUCAUAUUAUAUCAUCUAACAUUUCAUAUAGAUGUUAAAUUAUAAACCGUACGAACUUACCUGGACUAAGUUGUGAUAGUUGAAGAAGUUCAAGGACUUUUCUGUAAUUUUUUCUUUUCCACGUAAAUCAACAAGGUCUUGAUCUAAAAUGUAAAAUUCUCAAUUAUUAACUUACAUUCGAUAUUCCAACUUACUUUACAUUUUAUACCCUUUUAUUUUUUAAAAUUACACAAUUACUGUUAAGUUUUACAACUUUUUCAAUUUAAUCCCUUAACCCCAAAAUCAUUAAAUUGACCAUUUUCUUGAAAUCAAAUUACAACCAAAUAUUCUAUGCCCUUAAACAGUCCCUAUUACACCUCAAAUUCAACAUCAAACAUUAAAAUUUUCACAUUUUAACAAUUUAAUCCUUAAAUCAAAAUCUAACAAAAAUCACUUCACAAAACAACCAAAUACAACGAUCAAAGCUUCCAACACAUAUUUAUCAUAAAAAAAUAAUUCAAGAUUCAUCAAUGAAAACUUCUAAAAUUUUUAACGGAUUCAAAAACGAAGGUAUGGGCUAACUAGACCUAUUUUCAACGAUUACAAAAACAUAAAAAUUACAAGAAAUGGGAAUGGAUUUCACUUCCAUGCAAAGUAUUAGACUUGGCUGUUUCUUCAAGCUACUCUUUCAUGGUAAUUCGGCAAUGAUGAAGAAACAAAUGACGAAGAAAUGCUUAUUUCUUUUAAUUUGUUUAAUUUACCUUUGAUUUAUUUACAAUUUUGCCAUUAAACAUAUAAUAUUCAAUUCAUUUUCAUUCAACAUGCCGUCCAACAUUAAUAAUUAGGGAAUAAUUGCUACAUAGGUCCUUCCUCAUUUAGCAAUUAAGCUAUUUGAUCACUUAAAUGUAAUAAUCACUAAUGUUUACACCUUUUUCAAUUUAGUCUUUUUUUCUUAAAUUAACUACCUAAACAUUAAGAUUUCCAUACCAAAUUUCUAAUGACUCCGUAAAUAUUCUAUAAAUAAUAUUUACAAGUCGACAGGACGAAAAUUUGUGGUCUCGAAAUCACUGUUCCGUUACCAUUGGAAAACGAGCUGUGACAUAUUCUAUAUUUUAUUAUUGACUGAUUGCAUGAUUUAUGAAUUGAAAUGAUGUUUUUACUAUGAAUUUGUCAGUAAUUACUCCAGUAACGAAUAUGACACUUUAUUGCUCGAGCCUGUCGAUCGAGUCAGAUAAGGGCUGUUACAAGACUUAAAAAUUUACAAAAGGAACUUACUGAUUCCCUUAUCAAGCUUACGAUAAUAAAGGAGAAUAAGAAGAAAAAUUUUCUAUUCUCUUCUAUGAUGUUUGGUGGAAGGAAGAUAAGAAUGAAUCGUUAAUUUUUUUUCUCUCACCCUAACUCUCAAUAUCAUGUUUAUCUUAUAAUUAAUUACUCUUAAUUUAAUAAUUAAUCAAAUGGAUGAGAAGUGAGCUCCUAAAUAAAAUUCUUAUUUUAGCUUGAAUUAGAAGAUUCAAUCUCAAAACCAGCUUUUUUGACACCAACAAAAAUCGGAUCGUUACACCAUAAUUUAUUCAAUUGGUCACAUAAAGUUGUUUUCCGACAAAUUUGAUAAUUACAAAUCUUAUUGACUCACCAACAGUGUGUCGUCAUACACUAAAUCAAGGGGACCCCUUCUCAAUUUGAUGCUAAAACAAUAUUGUUUGAUUAUUGAGUCAACGUCCUAAACCAAAGAAUUAACGAAUAUUGAUGUGGAGAGUAUAAAUGCAAUGCAUAAAUUGUAAAAAAUUGAAAACUUAAAUAAAAAUUAAAAAUUCUAAAUAAUAUAAAAAAUAAAUUAUUCAAAAUAUUGGAAAAUUACAAUAUUUACAAAGAAAUUAGAAAUUCAAGAAAAUAUAUAAAAAGUUAAAAUUAAUUAUAAACAAAUUUCAAUAAUUUAUAAAAUUUUAUAAAAUAUUCAUGUAAUUUUAUCAAAAUUUAAAUAAAUUUCAAAUUUUUAAUUAUUUUCAAUUAUUAAUUUUGAAUAUUUAAAAUUUUAUAAAUUGUAAAUAAUUUUUUAUUUUUAUGAAAGAAAUUUUGAUUUAUCAUAAAUUUUAUAACUUUUUGAUUUUUUUAAUGUGUUUAUUGAUAUGGUAGAUACAAUAAACAAAUGAUGUGGCAUGUUUGCCACAUCUAAGAAGGUUAAGCUCAUUUAAUGAAAUGACCUAUCUCAAAUCUUAUCAAACAAUUGUGUAUAUAUAUGUAAAAGCAAGUAAAGUCUGAAGAUCUGACAGCAAACAAUGAAGACGAUGCUAAUUAAAAUUAAAGGAAGAUGAAUGGUAAAAAGAAGUUUAAUUUCUUUCUCUUCACCAAGAACUUAUCACAUUUUUCUGCACUGCAAUGAAAAACUUGGUUAUGGAGGAUGUAUAGUAGCAUCUCUAAAAAUGGGUUUCAAGAUCACAAUACAUCAAGCAAAAAUUUUAGUCAUCUCUUUUGAUUGAAAUCGAACAAAUGAAUUAAAGGUCUCAGACUAGUACUAUAGUUUUAAAGGUAAAAUGCAACAGCAAAAAAACAAAAGGAUGUUAAGUCGACUAAGCAGUAAACUUUAAUGUCAAACUUUUAUCAGAUGAUUAAGCUGGAGAAAACAAAAGUUCUAUCACACAUUAAACUUUGAGAAUUUUACAUAUCACUAAUUUUAUUUGUCUGAAAAAUAAUAAACUAAACAACCCAUCACUAAUGGAAAAUGGUAAAACUACUGCCUAGAAUAAAGUCCUUCCAGGACUUGGAGUCUUUCAUACAAAGCAUAGGGGAUAUACAACUUAUGACAUUGGGAUUUUUGGGCUGAAAAACUUUCCUAUCACUUUCGACUCUAAAAUGUUUAUGGCUUCUUUAGACUUAAUGCAACUAGGUGUCUUGUAUUGGCUCAUAGAAACUCCUCGGGACACGUAGUAAUCCAUUAGUGCAUCUAAACUUCCUUAUUUUACCACCCUAAUCUCCAAAGCUGCAAUUGCAUUUUGCUUCCUGCAGCUUCUAUAUAUAUAAUACAAUGCUUCUUCCAUUCUAUAGCAACAUUCUUCCAUUAUCUUUUGAUCUAGCUCUAUGCUAUCGUUGCCUUGUUUUGCCUUGAGCUCCCAAAAUAAGACAUAGUGACCAGGAAUUGAACAUGUAUCAGUGUAACUAGUGAACCCUGUCAAGAUGAAUCCAAGCGGAUCAAGAAGAGUCUUUGCUUCUCUCACUUCAAUUACCAGGUCUGCCUUCCUACAAAUUGGAAUUGAGGUGUAUUGUUGUGGAACCCUGUUACCUUAAGAACAUCUCUAACUUUAUAUCGAUACAACCCUGAAAGGAAAAAGAAUAUCAAACACAAUUAGCAACUAGAUCAUUACUCGAAUUUAUAUAUAUAUAGCUAGUAAGGAAUUGUAAUAAUAAUGUAAAAGGAAUUUAAUCAAAUCGAUAACAAUUCCCAUUUCUGCUAUGAUGCUACUUAGAAGAAAACAGUAGGAAUAAAUGGAGGAAAAUAAAACUUACCUGCAUAAGAUGUGACCAGUAGUUCAUAAUAUUGACCAAGCUUCACAUGUACAAGAUCAAUAGGUUCAAUAUUCUCAUUAUUGUUCUUCUUUUCUAAAGGUUCAUGUUGAGAAGCAUAAUUAAACUGAACCUCUUGGGACAAUGAUAGACUGUUAUUGUUCACGGGAAUGAAUUCAAAGUAAACCGUAGUGGGAAGAAAGGUGUAAGAGACAUGGGAAGGUCCACUUAGAGGUUCCAGAUUGAUGCCUCAAAAAGCUUCAGAACAAAUAUACGUGUUUGAUACUAAAGGGAGCCCCCCGAUAUAGAAUUCCAGUGUUUCAACAUAUUGACUCAUAACUCCUGUGGUAAUGGCACGAAUAAACUUUCCAUUACGCCAUAGCUUUUUGAUGAUUGUAAUAUCUUGAUUUUGGGCUUAGUCGGAACAGUAGUUUCGGAACCACAAAUCCAAUGAGGAAAAUUUCAUUUUUAUUAUAUUUUUAUGGUCUACAAUUUCACGAAAUGAUUUCGUGAAAAUUUCGUUCGAAAAGUUCGACGUUUGGGCACUCAAUUUAGUAAAAAGAACUAAAUUGUAAAAAGUGCAAAAGUUGAGUUCUACAUGUUAGAGGUAUCAAAUUGUUAUGAAAUUUUAAAUGGGAGGUCCUUAAAUGAUAAUUAAACCAUUAUAUAACUUGUUGGACAAAAAUGGCCUUGAUUGGGUAAAAUUUGAAAGAAUAGUAAAAAUGACAUUUUGGUCAUUUAGGGGUAAAAUGAAUUAAAAGAUAAAUUUUAAACUCCAAAUGUGUCCCUUUCUUCUUGCUACAGCAGAAUGUACCAAAAGCAGCCAUGGUUAAGGUUUUUCCAAGCUUCCAAGCUUAAUAAUCAAGGAAAUCGAGAUUUGGGCUUAAAUCGGGAAAAUACAAGGUUAUGGACUAGAAUGGUAAAUUGUCAUUUCUGGAUCCGAGGUAAGAUUGUACGUAAAUAAUUUAUUGAUUCUUUUUAUUUUAUUAUAUUUUGUUAUCAUAUGCAAUGUGGCUGCCUAUAGAAUGAUUAUUUGUUGUAAAUUGCAAAUUGAAAAAGGACUAUGAAUAAAUUGUAACAUGUUGGAAAGUGAGGAAUUUCCCAGUUGAGCCUUCAGAAUAGAAACGAUACAAAUUGUGAGGUCACGUGUGUAGUACUAAGUGCAGGCUACUACGUGUACCGGAUAAUUGGUCGCAUGUGUAGUACUAAGUGCAGGCUACUAUGCGUACCCGAUAACUUAAUCACGUGUGUAGUACUAAGUGCAGGCUACUACGUGUCUCAGAUGGUUAGGUCACGUGUGUAGUGCAGGCUACUACGUGUAUCAGAUGGUUAGGUCACGUGUGUAGUACUAAGUGCAGGCUACUACGUAUACUGGAUAAUUGGUCACAUGUGUAGUACUAAGUGCAGGCUAUUAUGCGUACCAGAUAACUUUGGCUACAAGUGUGAAAAUAUUUGCAGGCAACUGAGUAUCAGUUAUUAUUCCGAAGAGUUCAACAGGAAAAUCGAUUAAGUAAAAAUACAUGUGAACAUGAUUAUAUGAUGAAUAAGUGCAGGUAUAUGUUUAAGAAAAUUUUGAGCAAUAUGCUCGAUAUUUGAGUGAAGCUCGAUAAGACAAAAUAGAUUAAGUGAAAUUAUGUAAGAGUGAAUUUUAGUAGUAAAACAGUGUUAGACAAUAGCAGUUGUGUGACUUUGAAAAUUCAUCAAAAAAUGUGUAAGUUGAAUUAAAUUUCAAAUAAAUCAUGGAAUUAACUCUUAAUGAGUCUAUUUUCAUAUAAAGCAAACAAGGGGAGCAAAAGAGUUGUAUAUUAUGUGAUAUUCUAAUUUUUUUGAGACAGUGUCAGAAUGAAUUCGAGAUCCCCUGUUCUGACUUGGAAAAUUUGUUAAAAAUUAUAUAAAUAUAAUUAUGGGUUUUAAUUUAUAUUGUUAAAAUAUUUGAUGAGUCUAAUUUUAAUAGAAAUAAAUGGGAACAUUAUCCGAGUCUUGUACUAUGAGAUAAAUAAAUCUUAGUGAAGAAAGGUCGAAGCUGUCAAACAGCGAAAUAGGGGAGACUUUGAAUAAUAAACUGUACUUAUUGGAUGGACUAAAAAUUCUGAAAAUUGUUUGGUGGAAAUAUAUAUGAGUCUAGUUUCUGGGAAAAUUUACGUAUCUUAAUUUAGAGUUUCGUAACUCCAGAUAUAAAUGAUUUAGUGACUAUGACUCAAGAAAGCAGCUUAACCAGAACAUGUGUAAAUGUACAAUUGAGUUAGUUUUACUAUGGAAAGCAUGUUAGUAAAUUGCUUAUUAUUAUUUCAUGCGAGCUUACUAAGCGUAAAGCUUACCCCAUCCUUUCCAUUUCUUUUAGUAUUGUCAGGUUAGCUCAGAGUUGGAGAUCGUCGGAGGCAGCAUCACACUAUCAAGCCAACACCUUGACAGUAUAAACACAUAUGCUAGAAUUAUCAAGUGAGUGGCAUGUAUAGGGACCUAGUUUUAUAACAUGUGUUAUUAUAAUUUGGCUAAAUAUAUUGGUCUUUAGUGAGCUAAUGAUUCUGACUUAUAAAUCUAGCUAUUUAUGUUAUGUUUGAUAUUGGUGAUGUGCAUAGGCUUGUUUGUCAUGCAUGGUUGGUAAUAUGUUAUGUGUUGUUGUGAAUGUUUAAGUCCGUUAAUGCCUCAAACCCUGUCCCGGCGUGGGAUACGGGUGAGGGGUGUUACAUUCCUUCCCACGAUUCACAACUACAUAUCUUAUGUAUUGAAUCAGCCAAUUGAGGAUUAGGCUUCAUGAUAGAUUAUGCUGCAUUUUUGCAUCCGGAGUCAGUGAUCCAAUCACUAAUUUGACCUGAUCUUAUGUUGGAGCAUAACUCUUUCCAGUAACCUUCUAAGAACUUGAUAGCUCUUAGAAGUGCGGUUGCAAACUGUAAGCCAACCAUUACAACCUUAUCUCGCUGUAUUAAACCAGCAAGUAAUUGACAAUACAUGCUUUGGUUGGUGUCUGAGCAAAAGAUUGCUUCAAUAGGGCUUGUAUGAUGCUUGGAGAUAAUGUUCCUAUAGUCAUUGUUCUUGUACAUGCUUGUUGUGGCAGCUCUUGCUUUUGAGGCCACAAGGAGUUUCAGUCUCUUCUUUGGCAAACUGAAAUUCCAGACUUUUAACUGCCUGGUCUAGGUUACCGAAGUGCCUGUAAAUGAAUUUACAUUUAGGUCAACCCAAAUUUAAUCAAUUAUCCAAGCAGGCAAAAGCAAAACUAAACAAUAAAUCAUUGACAAAAGUACACCAACUCAAUAUGAUUCGGCACUUAAUCUUGCCAUAAGUUAUGGCUGACAGGAAAAAUCCAUUAUAAAGGAAACAAGUAAUUAACAUUGUUUCCUAACACACCAUAUAUGCUUCAGUUUCAACACCAAGUGGAAUUUUACACCACUGAUUAAUUUCAAACAAUUGAAAUCUUUGUAAAUUCGUAUGUUCAAACUUUAAAAAAAAAUAUAUAUAUCUUUAAAAAAAAUAAUAAAACAGAAUUUUACAUGGAGGUAAAAAAAUUGUGAACUAUCUACAUUCAUCAUUUAAAAGUAAAUAUAUAAUUAUAAACUCAGUUUCUUACUUUUUCAUCACAGCAGUUAACAGGGCAGAAGAAACUGCCAAUAGUUUAAGAGUUUCGGCGUUGACAGGUAUCAACUUUGGCUGUCCUCCUGAGGUGCCGCUGCUGCAUAUCAAAGGAGAUUGAGUUAGGAGAAAGCAACAGUUGAAAAAAUAGAUCAAAAUAAACAGAGGCAAGAAUUUGACACCUUCGAAAGAACUCCAACACAGAUUCAUCUAAAAGGAUAUUUGAUGGCUCCCCAUUGGCAAUCCUAUCAAUGUAAGGCUUAAUAUCUUCAUAGGUAACAAUGGGCACAUUCAUUUUGAAGAGUUUCUUGUCAGUUUUAACAUGGAGGUAUCGACUUAGAUAUUCAGUUGCUGCAUUUCUCUUUAGUAUUUUCCCUAAUACCUCUUCUUGUAUUUGCUUAGCAUUGGUCAUUUGGUUGUUAGUUCCUCUAUCCUCUGCAACCCAUCUUCAAACUCGUUCCUAGUUGCCAUUAUACCUAACUUUACUUUCUUAGCUCCCAAUCAUAUAUAAUUGAAAUUUGAAAGCUUGCACAUAUGUCUUCUUUUGGUGAAUAUAGUCUACAACCUUUAGAUUUUUAAAUUAUCUUUUCUACUUUUUUAGUUGAAAAUUUAUGAUUUAUUAUCCACAAAUUUUUCCCAAAUUGAUUUCAUUCAUAGGUUUUCGAGGGUUGCAUGUGUCUAGAGGCAUUGAUCAGUUUUAAAACUCGUGAUUAGUAUCUAUUCUUUAAUUAGCCUACAAAAUGCGGAGAAUUAAUUACUAGGCUCUGAUAAAUACCUUAAGAAAUAAAUAAUAAUAAUAAUAAUGUUUAUAAGAUGACAAAAUUACAACAUUUUAAUAUAUUUAAGUUGUAAGAGCCAGAUAUAAAAAAGAAUAAUGGUGUUUAUAAGAUGACAAAUAACAUUUUAAAGAAUAUAUUUAACAAGGUAAGUCCGAGUCAAAAGAAAACAGAAGCUUAUAUUUAAAACUGAAUAUGGUGUCAAUUUUAUGAUUUAAAAGUGAAUAUGUGAAUCACAUGAUUACCAAUUUUAUGAUUUAAAAGUAAAUAUAGUGGAUUUCAAAUUAAUUGGUGUGAAAUUUAAUGUUUAGGUUUUCUUAUGAAUUGUUUUUUUAUUUUUUUGAAAAAAUUAAUAUUUUUUAGUAUUUAAAUGAAUUUGUGUAAAAUAUUUUUUGUUGGUUAGUAAAUUUUCUGAACAUAUUUUAUAAAAGCUGUUUUCAAUAAAACAGACAUAUAUUUGAGAUUUUAUUAUCUUUUUAUUGUUUAAUUGAAUUUAUUUUAUAUCUAUAAAUUUAUAUUUUACAUUGUUCUUAAUGACAUAAAUAUAUUUGUUAAUAAAAUAUUAUAGUUUAAUUUUAUUUUAACAAUCGAAAUUUGUUCUAUAAUAUGAAAAUAUUUUGUAAUAAUCAAUGUCAUAUAAACUUAAUAAUAAAUAAUGCUAAAUUAAAACUUAAUUUAAAAUACAUAUAUUACAUAAAUGAUAGUACAUAUUGACAUAUUAAAAUUGUAAGGAAUAAAUGAAGCAAAAUAUUAUUUAAACAAAUACUCGUAUUUUUACAUUAUGGUUUUCAAUGUUUUUUCUUUUUAUGAAAAAACAGCACAUGAAACAACUUUCUUAUACAACUCUACCAAGGUAAUUAACACACAUAUUCUUCUCUAUACUAAAACAACUUGCAAAUUCAAGAGAAGAUUCUUCAAGCAGACAAAGCUCGAGAUUAUUUUUGGGUACCCAUUUUGCUAAAGCAUCUACCACAACAUUGACAUUUUCUAUUAUAUGCUUAUCUAAAUUACCAAGGGACCGAAUGUACUUAAUAAUGGUCUCACCAUUUAUUGCAGUCCCAUAGUUGUUGAUUAGAUCAAAAAGCUCCUUAUUAUCACUUUCAAUGAUAAUCCUUUGUUAACAACUCUUUCUUCCCUAUUAAAGUUUAUAACCUCUCAACUUGGUCUAGACAUUAAUACUGAAUUUUGAAGAUUAAAUUGUCUAUCAAAAUGACCUAACAAAACUAAUGGAGUUUAAAAACAAUUGUUUAAAACAUUUUCUUUAAUUUAUGAAGAAAAACUUAGCUUAUUUCCAAAAGGUACAAUUUAAUUUCAAAAACUAGUUGGUCUUAAUGACUGUUUUGCAAAAGUUGAAUUCCAAUAUUAUUUUUAUAUUUUUCAAAUCUCAUUUACAUAAUCAAGCAAUAGAAAAAAAAUAUAUAUUUAACAUAGUUUCAUUAAAAACCAAAUUUAAUGCACAAUUAAUUCAAAAUCAAUUUUUCAAUAUCCUAAUAUUAAAUUAAAUGUCAUACAUGCCAAAUAAACUCGAAACUUAAGUUCAUGCCACAGUUCAAAGAAACCAAUACAAUUCCAAAUAGCAAAAAUUAUAAUAUAAAGUCUAAAAUAUUUUUAAUAAAUAAAACUAUCCGAGCCAAGCCUUCCGGAUGUCGUAUCCUAACCUAGUGGGUUAUUUAUAAAUAUGGAAAUUUAAGAGUGAACUUAAGAAGCUCAGCGUGAGUCCAAUCACAAGAAAAUCAAUGUAGAACAGUAGACAACGAAUACGGAAUAACAAUUCUCAUAUUAAUCGCAACCAUUUAGCAAAUCACAAUAUCGAUUUUUCAAUCAACACUUUUCUAUAAUAUUUCAGAAUCCACAGUUUUAUGAAUGACAAUGCAAUUUUAAUUUAUCAUAAAGAGUCCUACCCAACUCCACUACACACCACACUAUGAGUUCCCUAGAACUCAUCCAUCCGUACACACCGAGUUGUGGAUAAAUCACUAUUAAUUUGCAGUUAAACUGCCACUUUGUUGUAAAAAUUGUGGGUAAACCACCAAUAUUUUCAGAUAAAACAUUUGCAGAUAAACUGCCACUUGGUUUGUGGAUGAGCCACUACUGGUUUGCACAUUAUUAAACUGCCACUCUUCGUCCAUGCAUAUCGUCGCGCCCCAUGCAAUGUAAUAUGACAUGCUUUGUAAAAAAACAAUACAAAAAUAGUGGAUAUGUUUUACAUAUAUUCAAUUCAAAAAUGCCAGUAGACAUGCUUAACAUGUAUUCAGUUCAACAUUAGCAGUAGACAUGCUUAACAUGUACUCAAUAGGGUGGUAACAAUAUUAACACUAACAAUUUUCCAGUAUCACUUUGACAAUAGGCAUGUAAUAUUCACAUCUCAUACUAUAUAACAAUAGUACUUUAGUCAUUAAAUCAUAGAUUCCAAAAUAAUAAUAUCAGGGACUUAAUUGAGUGAAUAAAACUCUGAAAAUAAUUCAAGGAAUAUACAAGGACUAAACUAAACAUAUCAUAAAUUUCUAAGCAAAAUUGUAAAGAAUGGGUCACAUGACUGUAUGGCCAGGCCAUGUGAGGGUCUCAUGGUCAUAUGGAUAGGUUACACAACUGUGUAGCCAGGCCGUGUAAUAGGUUUAAAUUAAUUUUACUUGCAAAAUUUCUAAUAUUGACCUAUCUGAUUUCUUUUUACUUGCAAUUUAAAUUAAUUUUUUAUUUUAAUUUUGUAUAUAUUGUAUAUGUAUUAUCAUUAGUUUCAAACGAUACAUUUUAAUACCUAUUAUAUGUAUUUUAAGUGCAUAUAUAUAUAUUAAAUACAUGAUUUUCACAUGCAUACAAAUGUAAUGGAAUUUCUAUUACAUAUAGUAUGACAUAUUUUUUUGUCAUCAAAUUCUCUAAAGAUCAAAUCUCAAACUUUGAUCAUAUUGAAAUUCUUUAUACAAUCCUUAUUUGACUUUACUCUUGUACCAUAUGCCAUGAGUGAUGGGAUGCUAAAAAUCAUUAAAGAAACCAUUAAAAGCUUCAAAUAAAUAUUAUGAUAAAUUAUUAUAUAAACUCUUCCUACCAUAUUAUUCACGGUCCCAUUUCAAUUAUUUAAUAAUAUUUUAAUAAAUUAUUUUAUUUCAUUCACACAUAAAUUUGUUAAUUUUUUUUACAUUGAAUCCAAAUCCGGAACACAUAAAUUUGUUAAUUUUUUUUACAUUGAAUCCAAAUCCGGAAUCAUGAAUAGAACUUCAAACCUCGAACUCUAAAUAAAAAACUCUCAAACCUCAAACUCAACUCCGACCUCGAAUCCCAAACUCUGAAUCCAAAUUUAAGGUUCGAGUUUAGAAUUUUAGAUUUAAAUUCAAGAUUCAAGUUCGGGUUUGGAGUAAAAAAAUUAUAAGUCAAUAACAUAAAAAAAAUUACUAAAAUUUCAUUAAAUAAUUAAAAAAGAACUAUAAAAACUGUGGUGAGAAAUAUCCUUAAAAUAAUUUCUGUAAUAUAUAAGAAUCAAAUAAAAAUAACAAUGACUUUCCUUAAGUUAAUAUAAAAAAUUUUCUUCUUUCUCAAACUUUUCAUGGAAACAAAGAAGAGCGUAAAGGGAACAGAGGAAAUUGAAGGGUUGAGAGAGAGAGAGAAUUAUCUGUUUUACCUGUUUGAAGCUCGAAAACUUUUGCAGAGGUGAAAGUAUAUUUCCAGGUUCUCUCCACUGAUUUUCGAUGAGAAACUUGAGAGGGGUGAAGAAGGAGCGCAAGUAAAAUCGUCCAAAUUAGGGAAGCGAAUAAUCUGGGAGUAGAGUGAUGAGAGGAUGAAAACUACCCUCAAAACUCUGCUGCCUGCAAACACCUUUCGCUUACCUGAUUUGGCAAAUUUUCCAAAUGUUCCAUUUCUGUUACCAUUAACCUCCUCGGCCUCUGCAACUUUAAAGAACCAAAUGAAACAAACACUACCAACUCCAAGGGUUAGCUCAGCUUUGUGUGUGUGUGUGUGUGUGUGUGCAUUAAUAUAUACUCGAAAUUUCGUCCCGGGGUGAACAUCAGUAGUACUUCUAUUUUAAUUUUUAAAUAAAGAAAACUUAAAAAAAGUGCGUGGUAAGAAUUAUUAUGCAAAUUGAAUAUCUGAAAAAGGUAUCCUUGUUUUCAAAAGUUAGGAAGCUGUCACAUCACACUUUAUCUUACAUAUUUAACUAAAUCAACAGUCGACAAAAGCCUAUAUACGGAACUGCAUGGAUGGGUCCAAUGGGUUUUAUUGCCCUAAAUAAAAAUAAAAAUGGCCUAAAGGCCUAAUUAAAAAAAAAUUAGUCCAUUCAGCUAUUUUAGCCCAAGAAAUGUUUAUGUUACUUUAAAAAGAAAAAAUUCAUUUACGAAGGGUGUGUGCUAAGAAUUAUUAUGCAAUUUCAAUGUUUCAAAAAGUUAUUAGUAUAAUUACAAAACAUUCACUUUGGUUUCAAAUUUUGUUUAAUAUUAAAUAUCUCCCAUUCUUGACUUAAAAAAAAAAUAAUUUGGAAGUAAUUUAAUUAUAGUCCCAAAAAAAUUAAUUAAUAUCAAAUUUAUUUAAAGCAAGGGUGUAGCUGGGGCUUGUAGGGCCCCAACCCCCUCUAAAAUGUAAAAUUAUCCAUUUAGACUUUUUAGAAUUUUUAAAAUUUUAAAUUAGUAAAAAUAAAAAUACACUUUGACCUCUAAAAAUGAUAAAAGUUUUGAUUUAAUUUUUUAAAAAUUAUAAAUAUAUAGGCUAUUAAAAAUUACAAUUUAAUUUUAGUCCCCUUAAAAAAUUUUCUUGCUUCGCCCCUGAUUUGAAGUUCAUAAAGUGUAAAAAAAAAAAAGAGAGUGUAAGUUUUAAUAUAUAAAUGAAAUAAAGGAACUUAAUUUAAUGUAAUAUUUCUUAAGAUGGUCCUUACAUGAAAGGUUAAAAACUAGUGAAUCACCAUCCAAAAGAUAAAUGUAAAGUUAGGUGGGAGCAUUGUUGAGUGUUGUUAGACGACCAGCUUCCUUAGUUUCUUACUUAAUUAACUUAAGCUUUCUUAGCUUUGCCUUUGAUCUAUGUUCAACUUGUCUCGUCCGUGCUGCCUCUGCUUCUAUCAUUUUCACUCAUUUGCUUUUAGUUAGUACAGUGUUGGGUAAAUUUGAAAUUGCAACACAUUUAUAAUGUGAUAAAAAAAUUAUAUAUGUUGAUACACGAUAUUAACGAAGAUAAAGAAGGAAAAGAGGGGGAUGUGUUGAGGAAUGCCAAUUCACCCAUUCUAGGGUUGAGGCUCGAAAAAGGAGAGGGACUCAAGUAGAAAAAGGGUGAGAUCUUAGUGUAUUAGGGUUUUGAGUGGAUAAAAGUCCCUUACUAAGGGGUAUCCUGGGGCAUUUGUAAAAAAGGUGAAUCUUCUUAUCCAAUUAUGUCAUGAUCAGUAUAUCUUAGUUCGCCUAAUGUAAGGUCCAACUGGGUCUAAAUUUAGGUAGGUAUAUAACAAUAACAAUUGUUGAUGUAAAGUACAACAAAGGAGGAAAGUAAGGAGGAGAUAAUGGUGGUUCUGUGGAGACUAAUUCACCUAAAGAGGCGUAAAGUCAAAAAGGAACAAUAGAACAAGUUUAGAGAGAGAAAGAGAGAGAGAGGAUUUCCUCAAAGUAACUUUAAGGUUUCAAAAGCAAAAAUGGUAAGGGGUUUGCUCAAAGUAAUUUUAAGGUUUCUCAAGCAAAAAUGGUCGAAACAAAGAAGAACAGAAAAGUAGCAAAAUAAAAGUAUUCAAAGGAAAAGGAAAGGUUUUAUAGGAAAAACCUCGAUUACAUGAAAUGUUUCAAGCAAUCAGUCUUCCCAACUAUUAACCAGUGAUAGAAAGCUUCCCCGUAAACAACUUUCAGAUUGCGUAUUUAAUGCUCGUACAUCCCCUUUUCCCCUUCUAGAAGCUUCUCCAGCAUGCCUUAAUCAAAACAUCGUUUCAACUGCCUACUAAACCAUUCAAUGAGAAACAAGUAAUGUUUGCCUGAUGAAAACAAAAAAUCACAAAAUUAUAACGCGCAAGAGAAAAUGGUAAAGAAAAUAUCUUUGCUUAUACUAUUAGUAUAAGGUAUAAGCAUCACAUGUAGUGUAGAACAAACUUGUAGCAAGCAAAGAAAUGGUGCAUCAUCUAUGAUAAAUAGAUGUGCGUUUAGUGAUGGAAGAUAUUCACCCAUAAGCAAAGAUAUAACAUACCACCCAUAAAUAUUUGCAAAGAAUGCAUGAACUAUAUCCUCAGGAUGAAAGAAAAGAAUACGCAAUAUGAAAUAAAAGUAUGACAUAGAAGCAAAGCAAUAGUUACAAAAGUGAAAUUUUAUUAAUAUUUUCAAAAAUUAUAGAUUAUAAAAGCAUUUACAAACAGGCAUUGUCUUUAUCCUCGGAUAGUGAAUGAACCGGCUAGGAAGCUUAAAGACUUGACUCCUCACCUACAAGCCUAUUUUCCUCCCCUUCUUCCAACCCAUCCAGAGUAGAAGCAUGCCUUCAAGUUUCACUUCAAAAGGGUCCCUCCAGAAGGACUUCUUAAUGAAAACAAAAUGCCUCAUUUCCUGGAUAAAAUAAUGACAAUUGUCUUCGAAUGGGCAGUUGAUGUAAAAAUCAAGCUGAUGGCCACUCCUAAUCAGAUCGAAAAAUGGUCUAAAAUUCAUUCCAUGGGUGUAAAUGGGACCAAAUGCCACUUGCAUUGCUAGCAUGACCCAAUCUAUGAUAAUAGUUGGAAUAGUUGCUUGAGCAUCCACUAAUCUUUUUCGGUCUUUCUCUUAGGCCGCACAUAUAUGUUUUAACUAAAGGUUUAGGUUUUUCACUUCAAUGUCUCGAUCCACCAAAGCUCCUCGUAGCCUUUUCUUAUCUUCUAGCAACUAAGCUUGUCAUUUUUAGCUAGUUCAGCAUAUAACCGAAGUUGGGCAUUCUUCUCCUUCAAACAUGCAUUUUCACUCUGAACCCCCGUAAGGUCCCCAUUUAUUCUUGGUAUUGUUGCCUCAUACCAACCAAGCCCUACUAGACCAAAUGAUUACCUUAUUGAAAGCUAUCCAAAGGUGUGUAAGAAGUCCCAGUGGCUUGAUUAGCACCAGGGUAAGGCACGAUUGCUAGGCUAAAUUCUAUCUCAAACUAGUUGAUCAUCUCAUCAAAACAACUUGAGAAUCAAACACACAAAAGUUAGGAGAACUUACCAGCAACUUAAGAAGAGUUGCGCCUUGCUUCCUUCUGGAUGGGAGCCUCCAAAAAAACAUAAACAAAUUUGUGCAUACCAUUCUGAUGCUCACUCUCAUUAGCACCUUUAGUAAUGUUGGAGGUAAAUUGUACAGUGGGAAGAAGGGUGAUGGAAUGAGCCUUUUUGAAAGGAAUAUUCUAAGUUGAGGUGUCAAAAAGAGUGCUUCCAAAAUGAGGAUGCCUCUGAGGAAAAGUAACAAAUGGAUUACCCCUCGGAGUAGCAGGUGGAGUAUCCCUAAAGAUCCUUUCCGGUGAGGGACUCCUAUAAGCAAAACAAGAACUAGGUUCUCAAAUGGUAAUUCCCCCAUACCUCCGAAAUGCAUGCUUGCCUUUCGGUACAACCAUCAUUUGCCUUUUGUCAGGGAUAAAAGCCUCUUCUAUUGGCCUCUUUGGCUCGAACCAAGACACUUCCACUUGUCUCUCCCUCUCACUAGAUACACCCUGUUCGAAAUAUUAAAAUUGUAAAGUUGAGAUAAUAAAAUUUUUGAUGUCUUGGGUUCAACUCUUAUUGUUUAUAUGUAUCUUUUACAUUUUAUAUAAAAAUAUUAAAAAGAUAAGAAUACCCUCCUCGAACUAAUAUUUGUUACUUUGUAAAAUUAUGAUUUUUUGUAGUUUCAAUUGAAACUUGAUUGAUAGUAAUACUAAUGUAUUCAAAUUCUUAAAUAAUAAGGUAAAUUACACUACAUAUAACUUAACUAUGCUUAAGUUUCUUUUUUAGUCACCUAACUUUUAAAACUUUCCAAAUGGUCACCCAACUAAUCGGGCUUUUUAGUUAAUUUUCGUUAAGUGUUGUUAAAUGUUUGACGGAAGAGUGAGGUGACAAUUCAAAAUUUGGUAUGAUAACAAAUUUUACCUUCAAAUUUCACAUAUUGUAUCAAUUUAGUCAUAAUUUUAAAAAAUUAACUCUCAACAUUUACAUAUUGUCUCAAUUUGAUCAUAAUACUAAAAAAAUCCAAAAUUUAUAUAAAAUUCAUAAAUAUUUACAAAAAAAAUUGUAUAAAAUCUAGAAAUACUCAUAAAAAUCUAAAAAAAUAAAAUAUUAUAGAAUAUAUUUCUAAAAAAAAGCCUUCUCUCAAGUCCCCCGCCCCUGUUGCUCGAACCACCAUGUUGACAUUGACUCUGACAGAAAAUGACUUGUGGAGCCCCCCUCUUUCUUUUCUCAAAUCCCCUAUUAUAUUUUGUAGAAGAGGAAAUUUUGAGUUUUUAUGUAUAAUUCGAUUUUGUUGCUGGUGUUUUAGUUUUUUUUUUAGAAUUAGAUUUGGAUGUAAUUACUUGUAAUUUAUAUAUUUGUGUCAUGUUCCAACAACUACUAUAAUUAAUAAGUUCUAUUUAAUUAAGUGUAAUUAGAGCACUCAAAUUAGACUCUAAUUCUUAGGGAACAAUGAAAAUUGGAGCACUCGCGUGAGUACUGAUAAGCUAUAAAAGUAACAUAUUUUAAUCUCAUUAUUAAUGCGUUUUUGGAUGAUUAAUUAUGUAAAUUAGUAAAUUUGAUGCUCCUAAUCCUUUAAAUUUAUGUUUCUAUACUCAGGAGAGCAUUUAUGAGUGAAAAAUGAGCCAAGAUCAGACAAAUAAAGUUGUUUUUAGGAGCCACACGACCUGGGCAUUUCCACACGGGCUAAACACAUGCCCUUGUGCCAACCUGCGUCGAUUUCGCACCCUACUUCCCAAAUACGCAGAAAAAGAUAAUUUUUAGGCUUUCUGAGCAUUUUAAAGUCUAUAAAUACCAAUUAGAAGAAGACAUGGCAGAGCAACAAGAGAAAAUCGAAGAAAACAAUCGAAGAACACAAUCGGAGCCAACUCGGAAGCGGAUCUCCAUCAAGAUUGAAGAUCUCAUUUUAAUUUCUGUCGAAGUUUUAUUAAGUUUCUUUAUGUCUUGUUUUUUUUUUCUGACUUUGAGAUGUUUUCAUUUAGGAUUAUCAACUAAUUCUCUAGAUACUUAGGGAAAAUGAAACCUAUGAUGAAUUCUUUUAUUUAAUUUCUGUUUUACACAAUAAAUACUUGAUUCUUGUUCUCAAUUAUGUGUGUUUAUUUCUUGUUUUAAUAUUUCUAGGAUAUUAAUUCAUGUUUAAUGUGCUUAAUUUAGUGGAGGAAAAGUCCAUGUUUAAGAGUAGAUCUAGCAUAAUUGAGUGGAGUUGCGUGCAAUCCUAGAAAUUGGAUGACAUAAAUCUACCGGAUUAGAGUUGAAUCUAAUAGGGGAAUCCAUAGAUCAAGUUAAUGUGACGAUAGGGGUUCUAAUUAGAAAGAGAUUUCAAUUAAUUAACCUAGAGUCAGUUGCUCUUACUCUCGAAAGAGAUAUUAACAUAAUUUCGGGAUUUCUACGGAUCAAGACACAAGUGAAUAAAUUGUUUAAUUCAAAUUUAUAAUAAUAGGUGAAGUCUAGGUGGAUUUUUUCCUAAGUAUUGUCUCUCUCAUUGGUUAAUAUUCGAUUAUUUCCUUGAUUCAUUCUCUGUUGCGAUAUUAGUAAAUUAGUUUAGUAAAUUUAGAUAGAUUAAAACACAUCACUCCAAAUUGCCUGCUAAAUAAUAGGAAAACAGUAAUUACUAAUACUUUUAGUCCUCGUGGAUAAGAUAUAUUUACUCAUGUAGCUAUACUAUUGUUUGAUAGGUGAGUUUGCCUUUGUCGUAUUUAUAGUUAGUUUAGUGACUAUCAAGUACUUACGAACAAUUACACUCUAAUCUAAUUAACCAUGGUUUUCCAAGUUUGUACAUGGUUUAAGUUUUAAAAGUUAUUUUUAUACAAUGAUAAUUGUAUUUUAAUUUUAAAAUAUAAUUAUAUGUUAUUUUAUUGAUCUCAUUUAAAUAAUAUGAAAAUUUUGUUGAUGAGAGAUAUGCUCCUAUACAUUUGACCUAUUAAAUAAUUAACUAAGUGAUAUAGUAUUUAUUAUUAAUUAUUUAUACUUGAUCAAAUACCAAUCGAUGAUAACAAAAAGUAUAUGCUUAAUGUUAGAAAGAAUAAUCUAACAGUAAUUAGAUAAAAAUUGCAUAGGACGUCUAUUUUUCUUGUUAAUUUUAUUACCAAUUGUAUUGUUGAAUACUUUCAUAGACUAAUGUAUUAUAUAAGAUGAUUUGAUUUUAAGUUUUGUUACUUGUUAAAAUUUUUUUCUCAAGUAUUAUUGAUAAUUUUGUAUAAUUAAUUAUUUUUAAAAUUUAAAAUUAUAUAAUUAUAAUUUAUACUACUGAACAUGACAUAAGAAAUUACAGGAUAAUCAUAUUCUAUCAGUCAAACACUAUAGAAUUAAAAAUCUUUAUAAUUACAAUAAUAUAAUAAUUAUUUUUUCAUGCAAUCACUCCGUGCUAUCCAACAUUAUUAAAAUUAAACCCACAUUUCUUUUUUUGGGGUAAUGAUUUCAUCUAUUCUAGACAUUCUUAGCAAAAUUUCAUUUUCAAUUUCAAACCUCCAUUUCAUUUUCACUUUUAAUUUUCUCUAGAUGAAGAUGGAAUCUAAUUCACUAAAAUCACCUCUCAACAUUAUAAAACCCACAAUUAUUUCUUUUAAUGAGGAUAAUGUUAAAAAUGAGAAAUAAGGUAGUGUUAAAAUUUGAAUUUGAGAAAUGGGUUGUUGAUUUUGCAAAUGGUGUUGAAAUUGGAGAAGAAAACGGUGGUGGUUUCGAUUGAGGUUGAAGAGAUGACGAAGGGUGGUGAUGAUGAUAAAAAUAACAAAAUUAUUUAUUUUUUAUAAUGAUUAAUAUUUGGCAAGUUGGGAAUAUAAUUUUUUUUAUAAUUAUAAAAGUUUGAAUAUUUAGAAUAAUGAUGGAGUUAAUACUGUGUAAAUAAUGAGGACGAAAUGUAUUGAAUUUUUUAGAAAUAGAAUCAACUUGAUAGAAUGUGUAUAAUAUUAGGAGUUAAAUGGAUUAUUAUACCAAUUAAAAGAAGGUCACACUGUCAUUUUGUUUGGUGAUCAAAUACAUUUUAAUAGUGGAAUGAAUAGAAUUAAAAAUUUAUUUAAUGAGAGUGACGGAAUUAAUAAAAAGAUUUUAAUGACCAAAACAAGAAGUCGUUAAAAAAAUUAAUUGACUAUUUAAAUAAUUUACUUUAAUAUUUUUAUGUAAAUUUUGCCAAAAUUUUAUCAAAAUAUUCAAAAUUUGUAAUUAUAAAAUAUUGCAUCCCUAAAUAACAAUAUCUCAAGUCGAUCCUUUCCCCAUUUUCAACAUACAUCUCUUUCGUAACUUUGGAUAUCAAAAAGGCCUCAUUUAUUGACUAAUACGUUUUAGAAUUUGCCUCUUCAAAAAGUAAAGCAUUUAAAAAUAUGAUGCUUUAAAAUUUACUUGGCUAUUAUUUUUCAUGAAAUAAGAAGAUUAUUUAUUUAGCAAAAUAGAUGUGAGGGGAGUAAUUCAACUUUAAUUUUUUUAUUUAAAUGAAAAAUAAUAAAAUAUUAUGAAUAAUUUCUCAUAUUUUAUCAAAUUUUCAUGGUAACCAAUUUUAGUUACUUUCAAUUAUUUUUUUCAAUUUCAAUACGAUAUUAAUAGGUUUUAAGCUAAGAUUUUGGUGGAAACUACAGGUAAAUAUGGUAUUGAUUUUAUUAAUUUUUUUCUUUUCAACAAUUUAUCUUAAAAUUUUAAUAAAUUAUAAGGACUAUUUGUGAUAUAUUUCAUUUUUAAUGCCCAAAGCAUAGAAACAAGCGGUUCCUUGUAUGCUUAGGAUUUAAAAUGGAAUAUACCACAAAUGGUCCCUCAUAAUUUUACCAAAACAGUCAUAUUUUCUAUUGAGAGUCGAAAUAAAAAUUAAAGUAUUUUUAAGAGUUAAAAGUACAAUUUUUCGUUAAUAUAACGUACAGUAAAUUAUUAAUUUUUGAAAGGAUAAAAAUAUAUUUUAUUUAAUUAAAAGGCUAAAAGUAUUAAAUUAAUAAAAAUUAAGAAGAUUAGUAAUAAGACUUAUUAUUCUUUACAUCACCUUGUUUUCCUUUUUCAUAUUCUAAAAAAAAAUACAAUUUGUAGCGAACUGGAAGAGAUAAAAAAAAAAGAAAAAAGUAUCAAUAAUUUGUAUUUUCUACAAUGAUUGAUUGGCUUAAAAUUAAACUCUUGCACUUAAUAUUUAAAAAAAAAUUACUCCCACAAAACACGUGUUCGCUUACUAGAAACAAUACACCUAAGAUCUAAUCACUGUUUUAGUCCUUUAAAAAUAUUGAAAUAUGAGAUUUAAUUCAGACAUAAUUUAGUUUAAUUAUUUUAAUAUUAUUAAUAUGUCCAAAUUAAUAAUACUGUUAAUUGCUAUCAAUAAAGUGAUGACAUGAAUCUAUAACAAAUUUUUUUUUGCAUAAAUUGUUAGAACUAUAUAGAAAUCUAAUCAACCACGUAUAAUAAAUAAUAAAUUUACAUGUCAGCUGAAUGUUUAAAGCUACUAUUUUUCUUUUAGAAAAAUCACAUCAUCAUUCUAAUCCGCAGUAGCCAAUAAUGUUAUGAAUUUGGACCCUAAAUAAUGUUAUAAUAAUAUAAGAAUUGAGUUUCAAGUAAAGAAUUAUAUCCUUCAAAAUAAGUAUUGGGUGGAAUUGUAAAACACAUUACAUUUUUAAGUAAAAAAAAAUACAAGUUUGAAUUAGUGUUUAUAUUCAUAUGAAUUUGGACAAUUUAAAAAUAAUUUGAAUUUUUUUGAAAUAUUUUAUUUUUAAUUGAUGUGGUAGUAACACGUCAACAAUCAAUGCUGACAUGACACUUAUUAAUAGUCAUGUCAGCAUUGUCAUAAAUAUUAACAAUCAACAUGAGUCAAAAGGCAUAAUUGGUUAACUUUGUUACUUCAGUGGCUCAAUUAGGUGCAAUGAGUUUUGAUGGAUCUAAUUUAUUUUUUUAAUAGUUCGAGGGCUUAUAAUUAGGGAUGGCAAAACUUGAAUCACUCUAUGGAUUUUGAACCACUCUACUUCGAAUGAAGUAGAUUCUUUUUUUUUUGAAAAGUGGAUGUGGGCAGGGUUGGGUGGCUAUCUUCUUUUGGAUAGUGAGUAUGGAACAGUUAUGCUAAUUGCUUGCCCCACUCCGACCCACUCCAUUAUAUGAAGUUACCAUAUUAUGCUUUGUAUAUAUAAAUUAUUAAAAAUGGUUAAAAUGUAAUAAUGUAAUAUAGCAAAAAAAUCCAUAUAUUUAUAUGAUUAAAUAUAUAUUUUAAAGAAUUAUGUUUAAAAUUUACUUUGCUUUAAAAAUAUUGAAGACAAAUAGCAAAAUAUAAAUUGAAGUAGAGUGAGGUGAGGGCGGGGAUGGAUUUAUUUAACAUCCAUGGAUGUGGUAAUGAUUUUUAAGAUUAUACAUACAUAGUAAAGUGGAGCGAGUGGUGGAGUAGUGAUGAAUUUAGCAAAGUUCACCUCCAUUCCACUCCAUUGCCAUCCUUAUAUAUAAUACCAUUAAGCCUAUUUUGAAUUAUUUUUAUGUUCUUUUUAAUUUUUAUACGUUUAAUAUUAUUUUGUAAUUUUCUCUACUUUGUUUACAUUUUUUUUAUAGUUAUUUAGAGAAUACAAAUUUUUUGAAGAAUUUCAUUAUAUGUUUUGAUCAUAUCUGCUAUUUUUGACACAAUGCUAAGAACUACUCAUAACCUCUCCCCUACCCAUAAAUAGGAGGAUAAUGCGUUUUUGCGCACUCGAACUCAUGUCCUCCUGUAUAGGCAAUAAUACUCAUGCCAAUCAGCUAAGACUCAAUUUUAAGGAAUACAAAUUUUCCAGGUGGCACAACUGUAGUGUAACAUGAGAUGAAAAUAAUUAAAAAUAAAUAAUUAUUACGACUUACACUUUAACAAUCAACGAUUAAAAUUAACAGUUAAAAAAAUAAGAAUUUAAUUGAUUUUUAAAAAAAAUAAUUGAGGGUUUUUUUUUUUAAAGUGUGAAACAUACUCUUUAACGGGAAUAAAUAACUAUAAUACAUACACUACAAUUUAAACUUAUGACAUAAAUUAUGAGGUAAACAUCCCUGUCCAAAAGAAGUUUUUAAACCAUUCAAGCUUCAGCCUGAUUAUUAUUAUUAUAUGGAUGGGAAAGAGGUUCCUUUAUUUUCACUCUAUUUCGUUGUAAUAAGGUGUUCUUGACCUAACAUCAACCAAUGAAAAUGUUUUGAUUCACUUAAAAAAUUUAAUUCGAGACUGACCCAAUUUAUUAUUAAUUUAAAGUAAAUAUCGAAUUACCCUAAACAACUUAGCUUAAAUUUAAAUAAUAUCAAAUAAAUAUAUUAAAAAUAAAAAUGGAUCAUAUUAUCCAACUAUUUGAAUCAAAUAUUAAAAUUCAAAUUCAAAUUCAGUUCACUUUAAACAUAGUUUAACAAUAACACUAGCUAUGCAUGUAGAUAAUCAUAAAUGUUUUUAUCUGUUUUAUAUUCUAAGUCUAAUUUUAUUUGGAAAAAAAAAUUAUAUUCAAUUAAAAUUUUUAUAUUAAUGAUUUCAACUCAAUUUAAAUACCUAUUCAAUAAAUUCAAAAUCACUAUUUUCAAACAUUUGUAGGUACAGUUCUCUCCUUCAAUAGAAUCAAAAGUUAAACCAAAUAAGCAAAGGAGAGAAAACAGAGUUUGAUUACAAAUUAAAAAAAAGAAGAAAAAGAAAACCCCUCCUCACAAAACCAAACUAUAUCAUAAACCACCAAAAAUUGGAAACGAAGAUGCAUGAUGAAAAGAAAGGCACUACAGAUAUGUAUCUUAUUCUAUAGGUGACAAAAAUUCAAUUAGACUCAAAAAAAAAUUAACUUUUCUUUUUCUUUUUUUUUUUUUGAUUUUGAGUUAAUUGAUCAUGUUAUUUGAUUUUUUUCAAGUUAUCUCAAAUAAAUAAUUCAAUUUUUGAGUUCGAGUCGGGUUGAACUUUUCAAUUUGAAUAAUUCAAAUAACAAAUUACUGUAAAUACUUUUUUGGUCCCUAUUUAAUUUUGAAAAUGAACAAAUUAGUUUCUCUUAACAAAAAAUUUAAAAAAUUUCUAAAAAAAAUUCAAAAUAAUUUUUAAAAAUUCAAAUAUUUAUAAAAAUUCCAAAUUUUAUAUAUUUUUUAAAAUAUUAUAAAAAAUAAAAAAUUUAAAAAAUAAAUAAAAAUUUAAAAAACUCUAAAAUGAUAAUUUCUUCUAUCUAAAUAAAUAAUUUAACUAUUUAAAUUUAUUAUACUAAAGUAUUUUUUUUUAAAAUUUCGAAUACAUAUUUUAUAUACUCUAAAAAAAAUUUAAUAUUACGAUUUUAAAUUGAAUUAAGAUAAUAAAAUAAAAUUUUUUUAACUCUAACUCGAGAUUUUUUUGCUAGAUUCAAUUCUGCAGUCGAAGAAGUGACCUAUGUGGCACCGAUUGACAGUAGUGUUGUAAGACCCAAUUCUUAGUAGUUCUAGAAUAAAAGCGUGCUUUCUUUGUCUCUAUAUAGACAGCAAUUAUAUGAUCCUUCCUACAAGGACGAUCUUUCCACAAAACUACGCGGAAGUUAAAGUAGGGCUGGGGGUGUUAACAUUAAUGGGAGACAACAUUAAUGGCAAACAAUACAAAGUGGUGCAAGUUUAGCACCCUAAAGUUGACUUUGAAAAAGUGGCAUGGGAUAAUUUUUUUUUUUGGUCCUUGAGAUAAUGGGCUAUUUAUUGUUUGGUCCUUAAACCUCAACUAUAAAUAGGCCUUCUCAUUUCUCAUUUCAAUUCAUCCCAACCAAUCUUUCUCUCUUAGUUUUCUCUCUUCUCCCAUUUGAGAAUUCUUAAGGAAUUCUAUUUGUUUGUAAUACUUUGGAGAUAGUAAAGUUAUCAUCUGGUGUUAGUGCCCGAGGACGUAGGUAUAAUUUACCGAACCUCGUUAAAUCUCUUGUGUUCUUUCUUGUCCUAUUUUUCUUUCAAUAUUUGAGGGUAUAAUAGUAGUAUUUAAUUGUGCUAUUAAAUUACUAUAGAAGGGAUAUUCUGUCUAAGGAAAGACUUGGUAUUUAAGAGAUCCAUGUGAUCCACCUCUCUUCCCUGGGAAUUGAACUUUGUGUGAUUUUUUAGUACAAUAAUUUACACGCUUCCGACCCUAUUGGAACAACAAAUGGUAUCAAGAGCCGAAGGUUAAUCGUAGUAUGCUCUAUGGUUACAGUUUAAACUGAUCUUCCACAUCAGAAAAGAUUUCCUUAGGUAUAUUGAAAUAUUAUGGAGAAAACGGUCGGUGUAGGAGCUUCAACAUCGUCCAUGUGGACAAGACCGACAAUUGCAAAUGCAAGAUUGGCCGUGGAGAUCUUUGAUGGCACGGGCCAUUUUGGUAUGUGGCAAAGUGAGGUUCUAGAUGCCCUUUUUCAGUAGGGUCUAGACAUUGCCAUUGAUGAAGAGAAACCAGAUGAUGUACAGGAGAAAGAUUGGAAGGCGAUCAAUCGGUUGGCAUGUGGCACAAUUCGAUCAUGCCUUUCUCGAGAGCAGAGGUAUGCUUUUUCAAAGGAGACUUCUACAAAUAAGUUGUGGGUGGCACUUGAAGAAAAAUUUUUGAAGAAAAACAGUCAAAAUAAGCUCCACUUGAAGAAAAGACUGUUUCGCUUCACAUACGUCCUAAGUACCACAAUGAAUAAUCACAUCACCAAAUUUAAUCAGUUAGUCACUGAUUUGCUGAAUAUGGAUGAGACAUUCAAAGAUGAAGAUUUGGCUUUGAUGCUGUUGGGGUCACUUCCUGAGGAGUUUGAGUUCCUAGAAACUACUCUACUUCAUGGCAGGAGUGAUAUAUCUCUGAGCGAAGUCUGUGCGGCCUUAUACAGUUAUGAACAGAGAAAGAAGGACAAACAGAAAAACUCAAUCAGAGAUACAGAAGCUUUAGUAGUCCGAGGUCGUUCAUACACUUGGAAGAAAACUCAAAAGGGGAGAUCAAAGUCAAAGUCCAGACUCGGGGCAGAUGAAUGUGCUUUUUAUCAUGAGAAAGGCCACUGGAAGAAAAAUUGUCCAAAGCUGAAGAAUAAGGGAAAAGCUACUGUAGAUGUUUGUGUUGCAAAGCAUGAUACUAGUGACUCUGAACUAUCACUGGUUGCAUCAUCAUCGUCGUUCCAUUCAGAUGAGUGGAUAUUGGAUUCGGGUUGUACCUAUCAUAUGUCCUCUAACCGGGAGUGGUUCUCUGAUUUAGUAGAACUAAAUGGAGGAGUUGUUUAUAUGGGCAAUGACAAUGCCUGUAAAAAUGUUGGGAUAGGUUCAAUCCAAUUAAAGAAUCAAGAUGGAUCAACCAGAGUUCUGACUGAUGUUUGGUACGUGCCCAGUUUGAAGAAAAAUCUCAUCUUAUUGGGAGCCUUGGAAUCCAAUGGUUCAGUUGUUACUAUGAGAGAUGGGAUUUUGAAAGUGACAUCUGGCGCACUUGUGAUAUUGAAGGGCAUCAGGAAAAAUAACUUGUAUUACUACCAAGGUAGUACAGUUAUUGGAGCAGUCGCUGCAGCUUCCGGCAACAAAGAAUUGGACUCAAUGCAGUUGUGGCAUAUGAAGUUGGGACAUGCCAGCGAAAAAUCCUUGCAAAUUCUGGCAAAGCAAGGAUUGUUGAAAGGUGCAAAGGCUUACAAAUUAAAAUUUUGCGAGCAUUGUGUUCUGGGAAAGCAAAAGAGAGUGAAAUUCGAUACUGCUAUCCAUAAUACAAAAGGUAUUUUGGAAUAUGUUCACUCAGAUGUGUGGGGGCCUUCCAAGACACCUUCAUUGGGAGGAAAACACUACUUUGUUACUUUUGUUGAUGACUUUUCCAGAAGAGUUUGAGUGUAUACCAUGAGAACUAAGGAUGAAGUGCUUAGAGUUUUUCUUAAAUGGAAAACUAUGAUCGAAAACCAGACUGGCAAGAAAAUCAAGCGGCUUAGGACGGACAAUGGAGGGGAAUAUAAAAGUGAUCCGUUCUUCGAUGUGUGCUAAGAGUAUGGUAUUGUUCGACACUUCACAGUUAGGGAUACACCACAGCAGAAUGGAUUGGCAGAGUGUAUGAAUCGAACAUUGCUGGAGAAAGUUCAAUGUAUGUUGUCCAAUGCUGGGUUGGGCAAGCAAUUUUGGGCUGAGGCUGUGACAUACGCUGGCCAUCUUGUUAAUCGUUUGCCAUCAUCUGCAUUAGAAAGAAAAACUCCUAUGGAGGUAUGGUCUGGAAAACCGGCUACAGAUUAUGAUUCCUUACAUGUGUUUGGAACCACUGCAUAUUACCAUGUGAAGGAGUCAAAGUUAGAUCCGAGGGUAAAGAAAGCUCUCUUUAUGGGAAUCACUUCUGGAGUGAAGGGAUUUCGUCUUUGGUGUUUAAGCACAAAGAAAAUGAUCUGUAGCAGAGAUGUUACCUUUGAUGAAUCUGCCACAUUGAAAAAGGUAGCAGAUAAAGAUAUUCAGACGAGCAAUACUCCACAGCAGGUGGAGUGUACUCCAAAACAGGUGGAGUUUGAGCAGAUGGGGAUUUGCCCAGUUAAUAAGUCUAAUUCUCCAGCCACAAUGGGGGAAUUAGAGGUUAAAGAGGUUCUGACCCAAGAACCACUAAGUACACCAGAACCAGUUGCAGUUGCAAGGCCACGGAGAGAAAUUCGUAAACCUGCUCGAUUUACUGAUAUGGUGGCCUACGCCAUUCCCGUUGUUGAUGAUAUUCCUAUCACUUAUCAAGAAGCAAUGCAAAGCUUAGAAAGUGAUAAAUGGAAAAGCGCCAUGGAUGAAGAAAUGCAGUCUCUCCGGAAGAACAAUACUUGGGAGUUGGCGCAAUUACCGAAAGAUAAAAGGGCAAUCAGAUGCAAGUGGGUAUUCGCAAAGAAAGAUGGAUCUCCUAGCAAGAAGGAUAUUCGCUACAAGGCAAGAUUGGUAGCUAAAGGCUACGCUCAGAAGGAGGGAAUUGACUACAAUGAUGUAUUUUCCCCUGUUGUGAAGCAUUCCUCCAUUAGAAUUUUGUUGGCCUUGGUAGCACAGUUGAAUUUGGAGCUAGCUCAACUUGAUGUUAAGACGGCUUUCUUGCAUGGUGAGUUAGAAGAGGAGAUCUAUAUGACUCAGCCCGAAGGAUACACAGAUGCUGGUGGUAGAAAUUGAGUUUGUAAGCUGAACAAAUCGCUAUAUGGAUUGAAGCAAUCCCCGAGGCAGUGGUACAAGCGAUUUGAUAGCUUUAUGAGAAGGCAGAAGUACACAAGAAGCAAAUAUGACAAUUGUGUGUAUUUGCAGAAGCUGCAUGACGGAUCUUUCAUUUAUCUACUCUUGUAUGUUGAUGAUAUGUUAAUCGCUUCGAAGAGCCAAAAAGAGAUAGAUAAGCUGAAGGCUCAGUUGAAUCAAGAGUUCGAGAUGAAAGAUCUAGGUGAGGCCAAGAAGAUUCUCGGCAUGGAGAUAAGUAGAGAUAGACAGAGAGGCAAGCUUUGUUUGAAUCAGAAGCAAUAUCUGAAAAAGGUAUUACAAUGUUUUGGUGUAAAUGAAAACACAAAACAUGUAAGUACCCCACUUGCUUCUCAUUUGAAACUUAGUGCUCAAUUAUCUCCGAAAACUGAAGAAGAAAGAGAAUAUAUGGCAAAAGUCCCAUAUGCUAAUGCAGUUGGGAGUUUGAUGUAUGCGAUGGUGUGUACGCGGCCUGACAUUUCACAAGUUGUUGGAGUUGUGAGCAGGUAUAUGCAUGAUCCUGGAAAAGGACAUUGCCAAGCUGUGAAAUGGAUUCUACGGUAUCUUCGAAAAACCGUAGAUGUUGGUUUAAUUUUUGAACAGGAUGAAGCACUUGGUCAGUUUGUAGUUGGAUAUGUUGAUUCCGACUUUGCUGGUGAUUUAGAUAAACGUCGUUCAACUACGGGGUAUCUGUUUACUCUUGCGAAAGCCCUAGUGAGUUGGAAGUCUACCUUACAGUCUACAGUAGCUGUGUCUACUACAGAGGCAGAAUAUAUGGCAGUUACAGAAGCUGUUAAGGAGGCUAUUUGGCUUAAUAGAUUGUUGAAAGACUUAGGAGUUGUUCAAAGUCACAUAAGUUUAUAUUGUGACAGUCAGAGCGCUAUUCAUUUAGCGAAAAAUCAAGUCUAUCAUUCAAGAACCAAACAUAUCGACGUAAGAUAUCACUUUGUGCGGGAAGUCUUUGAAAAAGGAAAAAUUCUACUUCAGAAGAUUCCAACAGCAGAUAAUCCCGCAGAUAUGAUGACCAAGGUGGUAAUAACAAUCAAGUUUAAUCAUUGUUUGAACUUGAUUAACAUCCUGAGAAUUUGAGCACCUUCAGGUGUAUGACGCUCGAGAGUGCAUUUGUAGGCACUACAAAAGAUAGCUUUAUCGAAUUUGGGGAGUUGAAGGAAGUGUGUGAAGAUGUGAUUAUCCUAAUCAAAUCUUCAAGGUGGAGAUUGUUAACAUUAAUGGGAGACAACAUUAAUGGCAAACAAUACAAAGUGGUGCAAGUUUAGCACCCUAAAGUUGACUUUGAAAAAAUGGCAUGGGAUAAUUUUUUUUUGGUCCUUGAGAUAAUGGGCUAUUUAUUGUUUGGUCCUUAAACCUCAACUAUAAAUAGGCCUUCUCAUUUCUCAUUUCAAUUCAUCCCAACCAAUCUUUCUCUCUUAGUUUUCUCUCUUCUCCCAUUUGAGAAUUCUUAAGGAAUUCUAUUUGUUUGUAAUACUUUGGAGAUAGUAAAGUUAUCAUCUGGUGUUAGUGCCCGAGGACGUAGGUAUAAUUUACCGAACCUCGUUAAAUCUCUUGUGUUCUUUCUUGUCCUAUUUUUCUUUCAAUAUUUGAGGGUAUAAUAGUAGUAUUUAAUUGUGCUAUUAAAUUACUAUAGAAGGGAUAUUCUGUCUAAGGAAAGACUUGGUAUUUAAGAGAUCCAUGUGAUCCACCUCUCUUCCCUGGGAAUUGAACUUUGUGUGAUUUUUUAGUACAAUAAUUUACACGCUUCCGACCCUAUUGGAACAACAGGGGGUGCUUAGACGAAAACAAAGAAGCUUAGGUGGGGACAGUACUUUCUCGCAAGAGUUGCGCGAUUGACGUCCGAUUUCCGAUAGCUAAUCUAUAGAGUCGAGCGUCUGCCAGUGUUGGUGGUUGUUUGAUUUUUCUUUUCCUGUCCAAAAUAAAUGACAAUUCUUAAAAGCCAAGUUUCAACCUUAUGGUAGCAUGUACCAAAGGGAUGUUGAAUCAGAAAAUCGACUCGGGUUCGAGUCUUGAAAGAAUAAUUGAAAAUUUUUUAUUUAAGUAAGAUUUGUUUAAAAUAUAAUAUGUGGUGUGGAUAUAUUUUUACUUUAUACGUAUGUACUAAUCCUCUAAUUGUCUAAUAAAAAAAAAAGAAAAAAAACAAAGCUAGAUCAUUUAAGGUUAAAAUUGAUGUAUUAAAAGUAUCCCAUAGGGGGUUUAGGUCUUCACUCUAGUCCAUCUUUUUUUGGGCUGCAACUUGUUGGAGGGGUAGGUUUUAUACAAACUAGUUUUCCUACCCCACUAAUUCAAUUAUAUUAAAAUUUUAAUACGCAAUUCCAUUCCAUGUGCCUCUAGUUUCUUUCAUUUUGUUUUAUUUAUUUCUCAAGCAUUUUCUACUAUUUAUUUUUGCUUUCAAGGGUAGUUUAAUGAAAAUAUCAUAAUGAAUAGUUUUAAUUAUUUGAAAACAAAGUUGAAAAUUAUUUUAAAAUUUGAAACUUAAUUAUUUAAAUAUUAGAUAACAAAAUAUCUUUAGUAAAAUUUUAAUUUUUAAUGACUAAUAAUUUUAUUUACUUAAAUAAAAAUUCUUUAGCAUAUGUUGGCUUAAAUUUCAAUAUAUAUUUGCUUUUCAAAAAAGAUAUCUCUUAGAUAUGCUCUGUAAUUUCAUGCAUUUUUCUUAAUUUAAUUUAAGAUGAUUUUUUAAAAUUUAAGAUUUCUUGGAUUUUUUUAUUUUUUUAUUUUAUAUUAUUAUCAUUUAGACGAAAUAGGCAUAUAAUUAUUUUAUAUUGUACCUAUUUCCUUGUAGUAUAAUAUCAUAUUUAUUUGUCAAUUAUAUAAGAUAUCCACGUCAAUGUUUACAUCCGCAAUUCUUGCUAUGCAAGUAUGUACUCGUUUCAUAAUAUAUCAUAUUAUGAUUUUAAUAGAUAAUUUUGAUAAAAAAAAUAUUUUAUAUUAUUUGAGAUUUUUGAGUUUU
rnacentral:lncRNA from 1 species